rnacentral:lncRNA from 1 species
UUUUUUUUCGGUUUUCUAAUUUUGCGAGCGUUCACCGAACCGUUCGUUUUAACGAACGCGUUCGUCGGUUUUUCUCUGUUAACGAACGUCCGUUAUUUAACCGUUCGUCCAUUUUUCUUUUUCGUCGGAUUUUCUCGUUAUUUUCUCAGAUUCGAUUUCUGAUCGAAUCUUCGAUUUUGUUUAACUUCUCGCUCGUUUAUCGGAAUCAGGCGAUUCAAGCGCCUAGAGUUUCGUCUCGAAAUUCUCUUUCCGUUUAACCUACUCAAACAAGUUUUUGCUACAGUAAAAUUUGACCUAGAUCCAGAUUAGCAAACGAAGUUUCUUUCUUUCGCCGUUUGACUUUCGUUGCUUCUUUCGAGUUGAUUCUUUUUGCAAACCGGAGUACUUAAGUUGAACUUUCUGGUUGGAUCUUUCAUUCGAGUUUUACCUGUGCAUUAGUUGAGUACUGAUUGUAUGCUUGUUUGUUUGCGAUACAGUACCCGGAGUGUGCCGCUUGUUACUUCGACUUGUUAGGUUUUGCGGAUCAUCAGCAAGGCAAGUAACACUUUGAUCAUAUCCCGUUCCUACCCAGUUUUAUUGCAUUAGAUCUAUUUCCUCAAACACAUUGCAUGAUUAGGAUCUAAAUAAACUGUCGGUACUGGGAAGUAGUUGAGGUAGUACCUAUUACCUGUUUUCUAUUCAAACCCUUGGGAGUUACUUCUACGUUGCUAUUAUAUUGCCAUGCUAUGCUCGUAGACGUGGAUUGGGUUUGAGUGAUAUUCAUGACAGAUGUGAGAUGUUUAAUAAUGGUUCAACUUAAGGUGGCAACUAAAACUCACAUCUGGGUGGAUUGAGGCACCUGGAGAACCCAGUGUUGUCUGUAUAUAUAAGGUCCGCCACCCAGGCUCAAAGGGAUCAUAAGAUUAUUCAUGCUAGAAACUUCCGUGUGCAGCCACAAGCUAUUAUGGGCUCUAGCAUAGCUGAGUAGGUUACAGGAUCUCUUGAAGAGGUGGACUAGCAGAUGUAGGGGAAAGUAGGUGUACCGGUCCAUCCAGAGUAAAGAGUGAUUGUUUCUGAAAGACUGUGUCUCGGUCAUCCGUUUCUCAAACAUCAUGCAGUGCGAGAAUCAAGCGGAGGAGAUCGAGUCUUGUGGGGAAAAGUGCGCAAACCUCUGCAGAGUGUACAAACUGAUCAUGAUUAGCCGUGUCCCCGGUUAUGGACAACUUGAGUAUCUAGUACCUGGAUUAUCAUUUGAAUCUCAUCACCGUGAUACUUAUAAUUAAUUUUGUUGGGUUAAUGAUGUUACUUAAUUGGGAUUGAGUUGUAGGUACCUUCUCAAUGUUUCAACUACCAUGAUAGUUAAAUAAAAUUUAUUCCUUUUGAAGUAGGAUAAAAUUGGCUUUUCGCAAAACUGUAACCAUGGAGCUUUCCACCAGCCAUAUAUGCAUAUAGUAUAGCAUUAUUAUUGUUCAUUGUUCUCUAUGUAUUGCAUUGCCAGUAUAUUCUAUGUGCUGACCCAUUUUUGGGCUGUAACGUUUCAUGUUGCAGACUUUUCAGACGACGAGUAAGGUGCCUUAGGUCGUGGUCUUAUACUCAGUGAUGCCGCUGGAGUUGAUGGACUCACUUAUCUUCCAAGUCUUCCGCUGUUAUCGUUAUUAGAUGGCCUUAAGCCAUGUUUUCAUACUUAAUCUCUUUGGAGAUCUUUCGAUGUAAUAAGUGUGUGAUUGCUACUCUGUUAUAAAUCCUACAUUUGUACUGUGCGUGUCAGCAUUACUGAUCCAGGGAUGACACUGGUGCACAGCAGCACAGGCCAUUUGAGGUCUGGUCGCUACAGAUGCAUAAUGGGCUGCACUGAUUAUAGAACAUUAGAGCUGACAGGCCCUGGUGAUUUAGGUGAAUGUAUAUAAGACAUCGUUAUCCUUGCAAGCAUCUGAUGUCAUUGGGCGUUGUUUUGACAGUGUGCUAGCACUUCCAGUAGGUCGCAGGAUCGAUUCCGGCCACUUCUAAUUUUUCUCUUGUAAACUGUUCACUCACAGUGGGUCUCCCCUAGACUUUUCUAUGUAACUAAAAAAUCCAGGGCCACCCCAUGCUGGCAGGCCACGCAGGUUGCCUGUAUGUUUGGAUACAGUAAAAAGCACCGACUUGCCUCAAACAACAAGUUAGAUAACCAUAAAUCUAUAUUUUUAAAGUUUUAGCAUCAAACUAAAUAUUGAGGGCAAGUUCUAUAACUGCUAGUGAUAUUACCUCAUAAGCUUGGGCAUAACUAUUCUCACGUGACAAAAGGGUAUUUUAACCGGGGUUGCUGCUCUCCAAUUAGCAUUAGCAAAACAUCUACAUGCACGAUUGUACAGGAUAUGGUGCUUAAUCAAACCCGGAGCACCAAACACAUGGAAGAUGAAAACAGGUACCAUUACCAAGCAGUCUUUUUAAUGUGUCAUACUGUGCAGCUGUUUAACAAAUGCUACGACCUCUUUGUCUCGUGACACUCGAGCACACAUGCGAUUAUCCAGUCCGCACCAUAUCCAGACUGCCUCAUCUUUUGUGGCCUUCAGAUCAUGAAUGUGUGGUGCACCUCGGUCCUUGCAGGCGGCAUGGAUGAUGCUCUUUUUAGUUGUUUUUUAAGUUUGGUUAGGGUUUAUGUCCUGCUCUGAAAAACAAGGCGGAUGCGGCUCCGUGGAGAUUGAAUAAGGUUCUCCCCAUCUAGCCCAUGUCCCGGUGUUGCGUUCAAUAUCGUUGGAGAGCACGUGAAGAUGUGUCUAUGGUAGAUCUCACGGGAUUCGUAUUUGUAUUCAGUGGAUCUGCAUUCAUUCGGUCUUCGUUCACCUGCGUUCGCGUGUCUACCUACAAGUUGGAUCAUUUUUUUAGUCAAAACCGUAGAACAAUAGUUCUACGGUAUUUUCGUUAAAAUUAAAUAUGUACAAACAAAGAGCGUUCAUCAAUGAUCGUCCUACACCCGUGCGAUUAAACAUGGAAAUUAAAUUAUAAGUUCUCCACUAUCCAGGAACUAAGCUGAACUUCUUUGGUGUGUUUUGCUCUAAGCCUGGUAGCCUGAAGUCCUUCCGUGAGAUAGAAUUUCCAUGAGUCUGGAUGAGGUGGUGCUCUUCUGAAGAUCUUGUCAUUCCGAAUCAUCCAAGAUCUCCAACAUCCCAUGAUAGUGAUUUCCAUAGCAAUGUCAGGUGGUAGUCUCCGUCUCAGCAAGUGGACCUCAUCAAAAGUGGAUAUGCCUUUGUUUCUGUUGGGUAUGAUCGAGUUCCAGCACAUCCAAGUGAAAGGGCAAUUCCAAAAAAGAUGCAGGAUGGUUUCCUCUAUUUUAUCAGAACACAGGGCACAGUUGUAAUCAUCCAGGUGCAUCUUUCUUCUGUUGAGCAUAUUCCUAGUGCUCAGCCUGUCAUGUAAUAGCAGCUAGAAGAAGAUUUUGUGUCUCAGACGGUAGGCAGAUUUCCAUAUCAUCAUGAAAAUAUUGUGUGCAGUGCUCUCACCCCCUCAUUGUUUUGUAAAGUAUCAUGGAGGAGAAUUUUUGUGUGGCUGAGUGAAUGGUCCAGACAUCUGGUGCAUCAGUAUUUGCUCUGGCAGCCACCAAUUCAUGAAGAACAUUGUACUGAGUAUAUUCUUCCAAUGAGAGGGGUAUGUGGAAAUGGUUGCUAAAGUCAGAUUGUUGCUGGAUUUGGAAGAGUGUGACCUCAUGAUUGACUGCAAAAGAAUGGAGCUCUGGGAAUUUCUCCUUCAACGGAAUCUCAGCCCAAAUGUCAUUCCAAACAUAAAUUGUGUCACCCUUGCGUGCUAUGCAUUUUGUUGCUUUCUUAAAGGAUUGCAGCAGCUUGAGAAUUUCUUUCCACCAAAAGGAGCCCACCAUCUUGUCACCUGGGAUACUAUUCUGAUAGUAUGCUUCCCAAAUUAUGUAGACCCAUGGAAUAUCUACUUUGCUGAGGAAUUCGUGCAGAUAUUUCAUAAGGAGGGCUUGGUUAUGGGCAUGAAGGUCCAAAACUAGGCCACCAUGGGUUUCUGGUUUACAAACUUUCUGCCAUGAAAUGAGUGCAGCACCUCUGUCUUCAGAGCCAAAUUUUCUCCAGAAGCAAUUCAUGAGGUAGGAGUUGAUUUGUUUGAGCACUGUCUUGGGGAUCCUCAAGGUGCACAUGAAGAAGGUAGGCAUGCUUGUAAAAGCUGACUUGAGUAAGGUAAGCUUAUCUCUAGUGGACAGCAGGGUAGAGCAUCCUAAUAAUAUGUGCUCAGUUCUCUUUAGAAGAGGGACAUAGUCAAUUACUCUGGGUUUAGUGCUGCAAAGAGGGAGUCCUAAAUAUUUGUGUGGCAGAGUACCAAUUUUGCAGCCCAGGAGGUUUGAUAUCUCUUGCAUUUUAUCCUAUGGGGUGUUAAAUGAUACCAAUGUAGAUUUGGAAUAGUGAACCCUCAGUCAUGUAUAUUCUGCAUAAUGGAGUAACAGGUUCUUGAUGUGUUGUACUUGCCUGAUAUCAGCAUGAGCCACAAGGAUGGUGUCAUCGGCAUAUUGGAUUAUGGGAAAAUCUGGGCUUGAAUCAUGGUGUAGUGGGGUGGAGACCAGGGAGUGCUGCAUAGCUUCAUUCAUCAUGGACUGUAAUAUAUCAAGUUGGAUCAUUUCUAUCUAGGUUUCUCUUCAUCGGUGACGGUUGCUGCUCUAGUGUUGUGUGGCCUUAGCAUGAUAUUUCCGUUUGUUUACUACUACACCGUUUGUCCGGCCUCGAUGAGGGAAGGGUGAUGACUGUGGCUCCUCUUUAGCUCGCUCCAGUGCUUGUUGUCGUCUCUAGAUAGUCUACGGAACUGAAUGUAAUUUUUGUCACCUCUAAUUUUUUUGUAUUCCCAUGACAGUUGGUGAAUGGGUCCAAAGUUCUUCGUGGAAAAAUAAGAAAACAGAAGUCCAAGUAUGAUGUCCAUGUUGGGGAACGUAGUAAUUUCAAAAAGUUUCCUACGCACACGCAAGAUCAUGGUGAUGCAUAGCAACGAGAGGGGAGAGUGUUGUCCACGUACCCUCAUAGAUCGAAAGCGGAAGCGUUAAUACAACACGGUUGAUGUAGUCGUACGUCUUCACGAUCCGGCCGAUCAAGUACCGAACGCACGGCACCUCCGAGUUCAGCACACGUUCAGCUCGAUGACGUCCCUCGAACUCCGAUCCAGCCGAGUGUCGAGGGAGAGUUUCGUCAGCACGACGGCGUGGUGACGAUGAUGAUGUUCUACCGACGCAGGGCUUCGCCUAAGCACCGCUACGAUAUUAUCGAGGUGUAAUAUGGUGGAGGGGGGCACCGCACACGGCUAAGAGAUCAAUGAUCAAUUGUUCUGUCUAUGGGGUGCCCCCUGCCCCCGUAUAUAAAGGAUCAAAGGGGGGAGGUGAGGCCAGCCUUGGGGCGCGCCAGGAGGAGUCCUACUCCCACCGGGAGUAGGCUCCCCCUUUUCCUAGUUGGAUUAGGACUUGGGAGGGGGGAAAGAGGAGAGGGAGAACAAGGAAGGGGGGCGCCGCCCCCUUCUCCUUGUCCUAUUCGGACUAGGGGGGAGGGGCGCGCGGCCUAGCCCUAGCCGCCUCUCCUCUCUUCCACCUAGGCCCACUAAGGCCCAUUAUGUUGCCGGGGGGUUCCGGUAACCUCCCAGUACUCCCGUAAAAUCCCGAUUUCACCCGGAACACUUUCGAUAUCCAAACAUAGGCUUCCAAUAUAUCAAUCUUUAUGUCUCGACCAUUUUGAGACUCCUCGUCAUGUCCCUGAUCACAUCCGGGACUCCGAACAACCUUCGGUACAUCAAAACAUAUAAACUCAUAAUAUAACUGUCAUCGAAACGUUAAGCAUGCGGACCCUACGGGUUCGAGAACUAUGUAGACAUGACCGAGACACGUCUCUGGUCAAUAACCAAUAGCGGAACCUGGAUGCUCAUAUUGGCUCCCACAUAUUCUACGAAGAUCUUUAUCGGUCAGACCGCAUAACAACAUACGUUGUUCCCUUUGUCAUCGGUAUGUUAGUUGCCCGAGAUUCGAUCGUCGGUAUCUCAAUACCUAGUUCAAUAUCGUUACCGGCAAGUCUCUUUACUCGUUCCGUAAUACAUCAUCUCGCAACAAACUCAUUAGUUGCAAUGCUUGCAAGGCUUAAGUGAUGUGCAUUACCGAGAGGGCCCAGAGAUACCUCUCUGACAAUCGGAGUGACAAAUCCUAAUCUCGAAAUACGCCAACCCAACAAGUACCUUCGGAGACACCUGUAGAGCACCUUUAUAAUCACCCAGUUACGUUGUGACGUUUGGUAGCACACAAAGUGUUCCUCCGGUAAACGGGAGUUGCAUAAUCUCAUAGUCAUAGGAACAUGUAUAAGUCAUGAAGAAAGCAAUAGCAACAUACUAAACGAUCGAGUGCUAAGCUAACGGACUGGGUCAAGUCAAUCACAUCAUUCUCCUAAUGAUGUGAUCCCGUUAAUCAAAUGACGACUCAUGUCUAUGGCUAGGAAACAUAACCAUCUUUGAUCAACGAGCUAGUCAAGUAGAGGCAUACUAGUGACACUCUGUUUGUCUAUGUAUUCACACAUGUAUCAAGUUUCCGGUUAAUACAAUUCUAGCAUGAAUAAUAAACAUUUAUCAUGAUAUAAGGAAAUAAAUAAUAACUUUAUUAUUGCCUCUAGGGCAUAUUUCCUUCAGUCUCCCACUUGCACUAGAGUCAAUAAUCUAGUUCACAUCGCCAUGUGAUUUAACAUCAAUAGUUCACAUCACCAUGUGAUUAACACCCAUAGUUCACAUCGUCAUGUGACCAACACCCAAAGGGUUUAAUAGAGUCAGUAAUCUAGUUCACAUCGCUAUGUGGUUAACACCCAAAGAGUACUAAGGUGUGAUCUUGUUUUGCUUGUGAGAUAAUUUUAGUCAACGGGUCUGUCAUAUUCAGAUCCGUAAGUAUUUUGCAAAUUUCUAUGUCUACAAUGCUCUGCACGGAGCUACUCUAGCUAAUUGCUCCCACUUUCAAUAUGUAUCUAGACCAAGACUUAGAGUCAUCUAGAUUAGUGUCAAAACUUGCAUCGACGUAACCCUUUACGACGAACCUUUUGUCACUUCCGUAAUCGAGAAACCUAUCCUUAUUCCACUAAUGGAUAAUUUUGACCGCUGUCCAGUGAUCUACUCCUAGAUCACUAUUGUACUCCCUUGCCAAAAUCAGUGUAGGGUAUACAAUAGAUCUGGUGCACAGCAUGGCAUACUUUAUAGAACCUAUGGCCGAGGCAUAGGGAAUGACUUUCAUUCUUUUUCUAUCUUCUGCCAUGGUCGGGCUUUGAGUCUUACUCAAUUUCACACCUUGUAACACAGGCAAGACACUCUUUCUUUGACUGUUCCAUUUUGAACCACUUCAAAAUCUUGUUAAGGUAUGUACUCAUUGAAAAAACUUAUCAAGCGUCUUGAUCUAUCUCUAUAGAUCUUGAUGCUCAAUAUGUAAGCAGCUUCACCGAGGUCUUUCUUUGAAAAACUCCUUUCAAACACUCCUUUCUGCUUUGCAGAAUAAUUCUACAUUAUUUCCGAUCAACAAUAUGUCAUUCACAUAUACUUAUCAGAAAUGCUGUAGUGCUCCCACUCACUUUCUUGUAAAUACAGGCUUCACCGCAAGUCCGUAUAAAACUAUAUCCUUUGAUCAACUUAUCAAAGCGUAUAUUCCAACUCCGAGAUGCUUGCACCAGUCCAUAGAUGGAUCGCUGGAGCUUGCAUAUUUUGUUAGCACCUUUAGGAUUGACAAAACCUUCUGGUUGCAUCAUAUACAACUCUUCUUUAAUAAAUCUAUUAAGGAAUGCAGUUUUGUUUAUCCAUUUGCCAGAUUUCAUAAAAUGCGGCAAUUGCUAACAUGAUUCGGACAGACUUAAGCAUAGAUACGAGUGAGAAACUUUCAUCGUAGUCAACACCUUAAACUUGUCGAAAACCUUUUGCGACAAUUCUAGCUUUGUAGAUAGUAACACUACUAUCAGCGUCCGUCUUCCUCUUGAAGAUCCAUUUAAUCUCAAUGGUUCGCCGAUCAUUGGGCAAGUCAAUCAAAGUCCAUACUUUGUUCUCAAACAUGGAUCUCAUCUCAGAUUUCAUGGCCUCAAGCCAUUUUGCGAAAUCUGGGCUCACCAUCGCUUCUUCAUAGUUCGUAGGUUCGUCAUGGUCUGGUAACAUAACCUCCAAAACAGGAUUAUCGUACCACUCUGGUGCGGAUCUUACUCUGUUUGACCUACGAGGUUCAGUAAUAACUUGAUCUGAAGUUCCAUGAUCAUCAUCAUUAACUUCCUCACUAAUUGGUAUAGGCGUCAUAGAAACUAGUUUCUGCGAUGAACUACUUUUCAAUAAGGGAGCAGGUACAAUUACCUCAUCAAGUUCUACUUUCCUCCCACUCACUUCUUUCGAGAGAAACUCCUUCUCUAGAAAGGAUCCAUUCUUAGCAACGAAUGUCUUGCCUUCAGAUCUGUGAUAGAAGGUGUACCCAACUGUCUCCUUUGGGUAUCCUAUGAAGACACAUUUCUCCGAUUUGGGUUUGAGCUUAUCAGGAUGAAACUUUUUCACAUAAGCAUCGCAACCCCAAACUUUAAGAAACGAUAACUUUGGUUUCUUGCCAAACCACAGUUCAUAAGAUGUCGUCUCAACGGAUUUAGAUGAUACCCUAUUUAACGUGAAUGCAGCUGUCUCUAAUGCAUAACCCCAAAACGAUAGUGGUAGAUCGGUAAGAGACAUCAUAUAUCGCACCAUAUCUAAUAAAGUACGGUUACGAUGUCCGGACACACCAUUACACUAUGGUGUUCCAGGUGGCGUGAGUAGUGAAACUAUUUCACAUUGUUUUAACUGAAGGCCAAACUCGUAACUCAAAUACUCUUCUCCAUGAUCAGAUCGUAGAAACGUUAUUUUCUUGUUACGAUGAUUUUCCACUUCACUCUGAAAUUAUAUGAACUUUUCAAAUGUUUCAGACUUCUGUUUCAUUAAGUAGAUAUACCCAUAUCUACUCAAAUCAUCUGUGAAGGUCAGAAAAUAAUGAUACCUGCUACGAGCCUCAAUAUUCAUCGGACCACAUACAUCUGUAUGUAUGAUUUCAAACAAAUCUGUUGCUCUCUCCAUAGUUCCGGAGAACGGCGUUUUAGUCAUCUUGCCCAUGAGGCACGGUUCGCAAGCAUCAAGUGAUUCAUAAUCAAGUGAUUCCAAAAUCCCAUCAGUAUGGAGUUUCUUCAUGCGUUUUACACCAAUAUGACCUAAACGGCAGUGCCACAAAUAAGUUGCACUAUCAUUAUUAACUUUGCAUCUUUUGGCUUCAUUAUUAUGAAUAUGUGUAUCACUACGAUCGAGAUCCAACAAACCAUUUUAUUGGGUGUAUGACCAUAGAAGGUUUUAUUCAUGUAAACAGAACAACAAUUAUUCUCUAAUUUAAAUGAAUAAACGUAUUGCAACAAACAUGAUCAAAUCAUAUUCAUGCUCAAUGCAAACACCAAAUAACACUUAUUUAGUUUCAACACUAAUCCCGAACGUAUAGGGAGUGUGCGAUGAUGAUCAUAUCAAUCUUGGAACUACUUCCAACACAUCGUCACCUCGCCUUUUACUAGUCUCUGUUUAUUCUGCAACUCCCGUUUCGAGUUACUACUCUUAGCAACUGAACCAGUAUCAAAUGCUGAGGGGUUGCUAUAAACACUAGUAAAGUACACAUCAAUAACAUGUAUAUCCAAUAUACCUUUGUUCACUUUGCCAUCCUUCUUAUCCACCAAAUACUUGGGGUAGUUCCGCUUCCAGUGACCAGUCCUUUUGCAGUAGAAGCACUUAGUCUCAGGCUUAGGCUUCUUCACUUGAGCAGCAACUUGCUUGCCAUUCUUCUUGAAGUUCCCCUUCUUCCCUUUGCCCUUUUCUUGAAACUAGUGGUCUUGUCAACCAUCAACACUUGAUGUUUUUCUUGAUUUCUACCUUCGUCGAUUUCAGCAUCUCGAAGAGCUCGGGAAUUACUUUCGUCAUCCCUUGCAUACUAUAGUUCAUCACGAAGUUCUACUAACUUGGUGAUGGUGACUAGAGAAUUCUGUCAAUCACUAUUUUAUCUGGAAGAUUAACUCCCACUUGAUUCAAGCGAUUGUAGUACCCAGACAAUCUGAGCACAUGCUCACUGCUUGAGCUAUUCUCCUCCAUAUUUUAGCUAUAGAACUUGUUGGAGACUUCAUAUCUCUCAACUCGGGUAUUUGCUUGAAAUAUUAACUUCAACUCCUGGAACAUCUCAUAUGGUCCAUGACGUUCAAAACGUCUUUGAAGUCCCGAUUCUAAGCCGUUAAGCAUGGUGCACUAAACUAUCAAGUAGUCAUCAUAUUGAGCUAGCCAAACGUUCAUAACGUCUGCAUCUGCUCUUGCAAUAGGUCUGUCACCUAGCGGUGCAUCAAGGACAUAAUUCUUCUGUGAAGCAAUGAGGAUAAUCCUCAGAUCAUGGAUCCAAUCCACAUCAUUUCUACUAACAUCUUUCAACAUAAUUUUUCUCUAGGAACAUAUCAAAAUAAACAUAGGGAAGCAACAACGCGAGCUAUUGAUCUACAACAUAAUUUGCAAAAUACUAUCAGGACUAAGUUCAUGAUAAAUUUAAGUUCAAUUAAUCAUAUUACUUAAGAACUCCCACUUAGAUAGACAUCCCUCUAAUCCUCUAAGUGAUCACGUGAUCCAUAUCAACUAAACCAUGUCCGAUCAUCACGUGAGAUGGAGUAGUUUCAACGGUGAACAUCACUAUGUUGAUCAUAUCUACUAUAUGAUUCACGCUCAACCUUUCGGUCUCCGUGUUCCGAGGCCAUAUCUGUUAUAUAUUAGGCUCGUCAAGUUUAACCUGAGUAUUCCGCGUGUGCAACUGUUUUGCACCCGUUGUAUUUGAACGUAGAGCCUAUCACACCCGAUCAUCAUGUGGUGUCUCAGCAGGAAGAACUUUCGCAACGGUGCAUACUCAGGGAGAACACUUAUACUUUGAUAAUUUAGUGAGGGAUCAUCUUAUAAUGCUACCGCCAAUCAAAGCAAGAUAAGAUGCAUAAAAAUAUAAACAUCACAUGCAAUCAAUAUAAGUGAUAUGAUAUGGCCAUCAUCAUCUUGUGCUUGUGAUCUCCAUCUUCGAAGCACCGUCAUGAUCACCAUCGUCACCGGCGCGACACCUUGAUCUCCAUCGUAGCAUCGUUGUCGUCUCGCCAAUCUUAUGCUUCUACGACUAUCGCUACCGCUUAGUGAUAAAGUAAAGCAUUACAGGGCGAUUGCAUUGCAUACAAUAAAGCGACAACCAUAUGGCUCCUGCCAGUUGCCGAUAACUCGGUUACAAAACAUGAUCAUCUCAUACAAUAAAAUUUAGCAUCAUGUCUUGACCAUAUCACAUCACAACAUGCCCUGCAAAAACAAGUUAGACGUCCUCUACUUUGUUGUUGCAAGUUUUACGUGGCUGCUACGGGCUUAGCAAGAACCGUUCUUACCUACGCAUCAAAACCACAAUGAUAGUUUGUCAAGUUGGUGUUGUUUUAACCUUCGCAAGGACCGGGCGUAGCCACACUCGGUUCAACUAAAGUGAGAGAGACAGACACCCGCCGGUCACCUUUAAGCAACGAGUGCUCGUAACGGUGAAACCAGUCUCGCGUAAGCGUACGCGUAAUGUCGGUCCGGGCCACUUCAUCUCACAAUACCGCUAAACCAAAGUAUGACAUGCUGGUAACCAGUAUGACAUAUAUCGCCCACAAAUCCCUUGUGUUCUACUCGUGCAUAUGACAUCUACGCAUAAAACCAGGCUCUGAUACCACUGUUGGGGAACGUAGUAAUUUCAAAAAAAUUCCUACGCACACGCAAGAUCAUGGUGAUGCAUAGCAACGAGAGGGGAGAGUGUUGUCCACGUACCCUCGUAGACCGAAAGCGGAAGCGUUAAUACAACGCGGUUGAUGUAGUCGUACGUCUUCACGAUCCGACCGAUCAAGUACCGAACGCACGGCACCUCCGAGUUCAGCACACGUUCAGCUCGAUGACGUCCCUCGAACUCCGAUCCAGCCGAGUAUUGAGGGAGAGUUUCGUCAGCACGACGGCGUGGUGACGAUGAUGAUGUUCGACCGACGCAGGGCUUCGCCUAAGCACCGCUACGAUAUUAUCGAGGUGUAAUAUGGUGGAGGGGGGCACUACACACGGCUAAGAGAUCAAUGAUCAAUUGUUGUGUCUAUGGGGUGCCCCUGCCCCCGUAUAUAAAGGAUUUAAGGGGGGAGGUGCGGCCAGCCUUCGGGCGCGCCAGGAGGAGUCCUACUCCCACCGGGACUAGGACUCCCCCCUUUUCCUAGUUGGAUUAGGACUUGGGAGGGGGGAAAGAGGAGAGGGAGAAGAAGGAAGGGGGGCGCCACCCCCUUCUCCUUGUCCUAUUCGGACUAGGGGGGAGGGGCGCGCGGCCCAGCCCUAGCCGCCUCUCCUCUCUUCCACCUAGGCCCACUAAGGCCCAUUAUGUUGCCGGGGGGUUCCGGUAACCUCCCGGUACUCCCGUAAAAUCCCGAUUUCACCCGGAACACUUCUGAUAUCCAAACAUAGGCUUCCAAUAUAUCAAUCUUUAUGUCUCAACCAUUUCGAGACUCCUCGUCAUGUCCGUGAUCACAUCCGGGACUCCGAACAACCUUCGGUACAUCAAAACAUAUAAACUCAUAAUAUAACUGUCAUCGAAACGUUAAGCGUGCGGGAACCUACGGGUUCGAGAACUAUGUAGACAUGACCGAGACACGUUUCCGGUCAAUAACCAAUAGCGGAACCUGGAUGCUCAUAUUGGCUCCCACAUAUUCUACGAAGAUCUUUAUCGGUCAGACCGCAUAACAACAUAUGUUGUUCCCUUUGUCAUCGGUAUGUUAGUUGCCCGAGAUUCGAUCGUCGGUAUCUCAAUACCUAGUUCAAUCUCGUUACCGGCAAGUCUCUUUACUCGUUCCGUAAUACAUCAUCUCGCAACAAACUCAUUAGUUGCAAUGCUUGCAAGGCUUAAGUGAUGUGCAUUACCGAGAGGGCCCAGAGAUACCUCUCCGACAAUCGGAGUGACAAAUCCUAAUCUCGAAAUACGCCAACCCAACAAGUACCUUCGGAGACACCUGUAGAGCACCUUUAUAAUCACCCAGUUACGUUGUGACGUUUGGUAGCACACAAAGUGUUCCUCCGGUAAACGGGAGUUGCAUAAUCUCAUAGUCAUAGGAACAUGUAUAAGUCAUGAAGAAAGCAAUAGCAACAUAUUAAACGAUCGAGUGCUAAGCUAACGGAAUGGGUCAAGUCAAUCACAUCAUUCUCCUAAUGAUGUGAUCCCGUUAAUCAAAUGACAACUCAUGUCUAUGGCUAGGAAACAUAACCAUCUUUGAUCAACGAGCUAGUCAAGUAGAGGCAUACUAGUGACACUAUGUUUGUCUAUGUAUUCACACAUGUAUCAAGUUUCCGGUUAAUACAAUUCUAGCAUGAAUAAUAAACAUUUAUCAUGAUAUAAGGAAAUAAAUAAUAACUUUAUUAUUGCCUCUAGGGCAUAUUUCCUUCAGUCCAAUACAUACAUGGCUAGCUAUGUUGGAGUAUAAUGUCCAGCCCUCUCCCAUAGUUCGAAUUUUUGGAGCAACUGACUGGAGCAUGAAGUUAAUAUGGUAUCCGAUCCAAGAGGUCUUGAAUUCAAGACCCUGCAAACGCAAUAUUAAAUAAACUGAUUUUGCGGUCUACAUCGAUCCCCCAGUAAACGCAAUAAUUAAUUACGACCUGCUCCCGCUUUCGCUGCCAGGUGUUGGAGUAAAAUGUCUAGCCCUCUCCUAUAAUUCGGACUUUUGAAGGUUGGAGCGUGAAUUCAGGGCCAGUUUUUUUGGCAGCUUAAAAAAUAAGCCACUCUCUCCCCAACUUUUUUCAUAAGCCACCUCUAUUGUUCAUUGGGGCUUCUAAGCUAGUUAUGGGAUAACUAAUUUAGAAGUCUCAACAAAUUUAAAGGGCGGCUUAUUUUUUAACCUGGGGAGAGGCAACUUAAUUUUUAAGCCACCCAAAAAAACUGGCCCAGCUACUGUACUACACAGUGAGGAAAAUCCAACUAAAAACUGCGAAACGCAACCAACAAUACGGUACAGGCACCAGCGGGUAGUGAUAUAAGAAACCACACACAUAACCGUGAACCAAACAAACCAGUUAAACUAAUCUUUUUGGUUAGAAAUAAUCAAUAGCUCCCUUCGAAAAGAAAGAAAUAAUCAGUACCUGGUGUCGGACUUACAAGUCAUGAUACGCAAACAUGUGCAUCUGGGCUAAGCCCAUACAUCUUUGCAAAUACUACUAAGUUAAACUACGAAGGGAUUCAUUCGUAGUUUAACUUAGUAGUAUUUGUUCCCUAAAACAAAAGAAAAAGAAAAACUGGCUAAUUUCAUUCAGGUAGCUCGAUCCCUAGUCACUGGAUUGACCAUGACUUGCCGUUGAUUUAUCACUUAUCUAAAAAAUGUUUACGAAUUCAAAAAUAUUCAUGGGUUCAAAAAAAUUCAUGGAUUGAAAAAAGUUCACAAAUUCGAGAAAGUUCAUGAGUUUAAUAAAAGUUCAUGGAUUUCAAAACAGUUCACGAACUCGCAAAAGUUCACGAGUAUAAAAAAAUCACUCAUUUGAUAAAAGUUCAUGCAUUUGAAAAAGUUUGACGGAAUUGAAAAAAUGGUCACGUGUUUCCCGGAUUUGAAACAAAUUUUAUGAUCUUGAGGAAAACAAAAUCACAAAUUUAGAAAAAAAAUGUUCACAGAUUUUUAAAAAUCAUGGAUUAAAAAAAAUCACCAGCUCAAAAAAGUUCAUGAGAUCACAAAAAUUCAUGAAUCUGAAAAAAGUCUGUGCAUUUGAAAAAGUCCACGAGUUUGAAGAAAGUUUUGAAUUAGAAAAAGGUUCAUGCAUUUUAAAAAGGGAAAAAAGGAAAAGGAAAAGAAUAAGAAAGAAAAAACAUUAGAAAAUGAAGAAAGGGAAAAAACCCGCCCUGAAAGCUUAUAGAAGCUUUCGAAAACCCGGCCCAAGGAAGCUUCUAGGAGCUUCCCAAAACAGGGAGUGAGAUGGAGGUUCUAAUUCGUGCUCAUUACGGCCCAUUUUAAAUAUAUAGAGGGAAGGGGGCGUGCGCUAUUUACCAUUUGCCGUUUAAGAGGCGCCUGAAGCAUCAAACAGGAUCUGGGGUUCGAAAGACUAGUAGACAGCUCCACAUUUUGGUCUUAUAUUACGAAUGAUAAUAGCUGGAGUACAUAGUACCAUUUAGAGACGUCUUCGGGUAUUUGGCUUUCUAAAAACAUGCCCUAAAAUUGUACCAAACCAUGAACGUUUCUCCUUUAAUUGAAUGAAGGGCUGAUGUUAAUGCAUGUACUGUUUGUGUGUGUGUGUGAGAGAGAGAGAGAGGGGGAGAGAGAGAGAGUAAAUACAUGUACAUGAUUGGUACUUAUUAGACUUGCACACAAUUAUCAACACGACUUGUGUUUUGAUUUUUUCUUGAUUAUUAACAAUUUAGAUAUCUCAAAUUGACUAGGGUGCACGGCGUUUUCCUCCACGAGAGACUUCUCAAGCGACUAGGUUUUUCCAACCUCUUACCGGUGUCGUCGCGGUUGGCCACGCCUUCUGUGGCCUUAGGGCCAUGGAGGCGCGGUUGAUCCCGGCGCUUGACGGUGCCAGGGUUCCUGCUCUGUUUUAUGUGUUUUUUGAGUUUCUUAGGGGGUAUGUUUAUGCUCAGGAAGACGAGGCGAUAGAGAUUCCCUGAAGAUGAAAUAAGGUUCUCCACAUCUAGCACCCAUCCCGGUGGUGCGUUUAGCAUCGUUGGAGGGCAUGUGGAGGUGUGUUUCUGGCAGAUAUGGUGGGAUUCAGUUAGUGUUUGCCUUCGGUGGAUCUAUUUGGAUCUGGUGUUUGUUCGUUUGUGUUCCUGUCUCUACAGGUUGCAUCCUUCCGAACUACGCUUCUCUUCAUCGUCAAUUGCCUUUGUUUUAGUGUGCUGGUUCUUUGGGGCUUAGCAUGACGACUUCCCGAUCGUCUAGUACAACAAAGUUUGCUUGACUUCGACGAAGGAGGGGCGAUGACAGUGACAUGCCUUCAGUUCGCUCCAGUGCUCUGGAGGCUACGUCUCCUCCAGCCUCUAUGUCUUGUCGGUAUAUGGGCGACCUCGGCCCCGGCUGCCCGGAUCUGCGCCCCUUCCAGUUCCUAGCAUGUAGACAUCGUCGGUCCUCGUCGCGCACUUUCAUUGGCCCCCUUGCCCCGCCUCCUCCCCAAGCCCGGCAACCUCGCUGCCGCACGUCAUGUCCAAGGCUCGAGUGUCCAGCGUGGCUCCCCUUCUUGGUUUUGGUUUUUUACCUACUUUGACCUUCGACUCCCGGUUUCUGAUCCGGUGGCUAUGGGAUUGCAAAGACCCUGGCAGGGAGAAAUUCUUGCUCGGCUUGCCGGUGCUGGCAGCAGCAACGCUCGCGAGAGUUGUCUCCUCCUUGGAGGUGUUGCCAUGGCCUCUCUCUGAGCCCCCCUUUAGCACCAGGGGAAAACCUUGGUUUGAUUCUUUAGAUCGGAUAGGGACGGUGCUCUGUGUCGUUGUCCUUCUUGAUAGCGUUGUCUUGUGUGCUCAAGACAUACCUGGUGUUAGACUAGUGGAUGUAGGACGUCAUGUAGGUUCAGACUGCCCUCAAGCUUGGGGUGUAGCUGUGUUGUUUGCAUGUUCGGGUCGAGCACCUCUUGUCUGUCUGCACUGGGUACCGUGUUCACGCCACCUUGUAUUCGUGCAUGUGUGGUACUCCCUCCGUCCCAUAAUAUAAGAGCGGUUUUUACACUACACCAGUGUCAAAAACGCUUUUAUAUUAUGGCACCAAGGAGUACCUUACCUGUACGCAUUCUCUUUUUUUCUAUCAACGGAAAGAUAGAAAUGCUUUGCGUAUUUGCGAAAAAGAAAUGUACACUCUCUGAGUAGGGCAUUUUGGAGACCGAGCUUCAUGGAGCCCUUUAUUUUGAAUAAUUCAAAAUUCAUAAAUUUCAGUUCCAAAAAAUUCUGAAAAAAUACACAUGUAUGCAAGGAUGUAAAGUGUAUGUGUGAAAAAUUUCAGGAUGAAAUACCUUGAAUUGCGAGCUGUAUAAAAAAACCAAAAUCAUGGACUUUAUAGAUGAACAGUACAUAUGCUAAAAGGCCCCAAUUUGUCUUUUUUGUGUAGCUCGCAUUUUAAUGUAUUACGACCUGAAUUUGCACACGUGUACAUUAUGUAUUUAGGUAUAUGUGUAUUUAUUUCCAGAAUUUUUUGAAGCUGAAAAGUUUGAAUUUUAAAGUUUUCAAAUAAAGGCCUCCAUGAAGCUCGGUCUUCCUUUGGCAUUUUCGAUACUCUCUGUUUGCCUUUGGUGGAUCUGUUUGGACUUCGUUUGUUUUUAAUCCUGAUUUUUUUUAGCAAUUUGUGCCGCUUACUGCGAGGCACGGUGCCUCGCCUGCAGGGCGCGGUUGUGGGCCUGCCCAGUAGGACGUGGCACGUCAUGCUGGCAUCACAAGAAUUUACGUUUUUCCUCCUUUUACUUUUAUUUUAUAUUUAAAACAAAUGCAUAUAUAGAAAACAAUACUUAAGAAAUUUAAAACACGAAUUUGAAUAAAAUUUGACAUAGUAUAAAACAUUAGUUAGCAUAGUUUUAAAAAAUGCUGAUAACUUUCAGAAAAAAAGUUUGUGAAUGAGAAAAUGUUCGCAUGUUUCAAACAAAUUUAAGAAAUUUUAUAAAAGUUGUAUACAGUGUAACAAAAUUAUUCUUGUCAUAAAAAUGUACGUUGCAUUUUACGGAAAUAUUCCCGGGCUUCAAAAAAUUCUGUCAUUUAGUAAAAAGUUAUAUACAAUGGAAAAAAUGUUCCAGUGGGUUAAAAAAAUGUGUAUUUCCAUUUAAAGCAUUACAUGGCAUUUAAAAAUAAUUGCUUGUUUUCAUAAAACGUCCAUGAAAAUUUAAAAAAUGUUUAUACAAUUUCAGUGGCCGCCACAUGGCGCAUUCACGGCGCUCCCUCUGGAUUUUGAUUGAUUUAUUUAUUUAUCUUGUUCGUGUUUUUAGGAUAUAGAUGAGUUUUUUUAUUUUUGGUUUUUGCCUAUUUUUCUCUAUGAUUUGGAGAGUUUGUUUCAAGCACAGUUGUGCUUCUCGAAAAAAUGUGCUUGCAUGAGAAACACAUAUUUACUUCUCGUGGUAGCACAGAUUUGCUUCCGCGAGAAGCACAGUUAUGCUUCUCGAAAAAGGAAAGAAUGUGUACUUUCACGAGAAGCACAAGUUUGCUUCCGCGAGAAACACAACUAUACUUCUCGAAACAAAUAAUAUAUGCUCCCACGGGAAGUAUAGAUGUGCUUCCGCGAGAAGCACACUUGUGUUUUCUCAGGUAAAAAAAAUGUACUUCUUGAAAAAGAAGUGAAAACCCGCAACCGUGCUUCUGGGCUCCGGUAUUUUCUUCCGUUGUUUUGUUAUCGGUGUUUUUGGUUACCGAAUUUCUUAGAUUUUGAUUUUUUUUACGUGAUAUUUUUUGUAGUUUUUUAUUUUUCUGAAAAAAAUUGUCGAAAGCGAUUAACAUGCGAUCUAGUUUCGAAGAUCUUGAUGCGAGAAAUCCAAUGGUGAAACGGUUCGGAAUUCGGUCGCACGAUUCUAGAGAUAAAAUGUUUUGAAUAAACGAAUCUUAAAAAAGAAAAAAAAAACACUCAGGUUGCGACAAGUGACACACAUCACAGAAAGUUAGGUGACUCUUUGUAAGGGGUACCUCUUAACUAGUGAUUUCAUGACAUAUAGGCCUCGUGAAAUAUAUGUCCAAUACAUAUGAUCUACGUACUGUCCUAUGGGUCAAAUCCAGGAAAAUACAUGAAGGAACCCGGAUACAUAUGAACCCACAUUGAAAACACAUUUCUAAAUACGAAAAAUUCUGAAAAAAAGUUGCAACCAUACAUCUCCAAGUUCAUGUAUGCACACAAGUUUUGCGGGAAAAUAGCUUCUUCUUUGGCAUGUGCAAAACGUGCAAAACAAAUGUGUCUUGAAACACUAUUCAGAAGCAUUGAGGUUUUUCAUUUUUACGUAGACAAAGUAAAGAAGGCGUUUUUUCAUAAUACUUUGUGCCGCGCACAUAUAGUACGAACAUGUACACAUGAAAUAUUGUUUUGAAUUUUUUAACAAUUUAAAACCAUUUAAAAUGCAUUUUUAACAAGCGGGUUCAUAUUCAGGAAGUGCCUUCUCCCAAAUCCAGCUCAAACUGCCGAACACAACACAACCAACAAAGCAAAUCCAGCUAGUACUUAAUUUAGGCGCGUAGAAAUAAGAUCGGUACUUAUAUGUCGGACCAACAAGUCACGACACGCAAACAUUUGCAUUUGAGCUAAGCCCAUACUACAUCCAUGCAAACACAGCUAGUUAAACUGCAAAUCCGACACUAGUAAACACGACUGACGACGGUACAAUCUACUGGUACCUCGUUGGAACACACACACAACAGAUUAACCAGAAACAGCUGCAACAUUAUUCAACACUACUAAGCAGGUGCGGCAGCUAGCUAGGCGGGCAAUGGAUGGAUCGAUCUAUGGGUUGUAGUAGACGAUCUUGAUCUCGGUGACGCCGUGGCAGUUGCCGCCGGGGACGGAGUGCUCGAAGCAGUGGUUGCCGCUGUUGCAUCCGGCGGUGGGGCAGUGCCCCUGCAGCGGGCUGCCGUGCGGGGUGACGGAGACGCGGAUGGGCAUGUUGGCCUGGUCGGUGCUCACCUCGUAGUACGCCCCGCCGUCGUGGCCGAUGUGGAACUUGGCCACGGCGGCGCCCUGCGCCGACACGCUCCCGGACCAGGAGCACACGUCGAACGACUCGUGCUUCCCGUUGGGGAGCAGCCAGCCGUUGGGGAAGAGGACCUUGCUGUCCGCCACCGCCGCGAUACCCAGGUUCAGAUCGUGGCCGCACAGGUUCUGCACCGUCACCUUGUGGCCGCCGCAGCCUUGACCGGCGGCAGACAUGGCCGUCGCGGACAGAGUCACGAGCAGCAGGAGGGCAAGGGGCUUGGAGGCCGCCAUUGAGUAGCUAUCAGUAUGGUGCUAUGACUAGGGAAUCGAGGAAGAAGAGGCUGGCACUGCUUUGGGGUGAGGUUUAUGGCUCAGGUUUGCGGGGGUAUUUAUAUGCAGAGAAGCUUCAUUAGGGCUUUGGGAGGAUGGUUCGGGAUUGUAGCCGCGUCUGAUAUUCGCUACCUAGUCACUUAGUAGCUGUGAUUAAAAAACUACACCAAUCAUGGUUACCACGACGAGGUAGAGACGCCGGUGUGGCACUGAGCCGUCUCGACUGGGACCGAGCUCGACGUCGCAUGAGAAAAUGUUUCCUCGCGUUCGUUGGCUCGUAGCCAGUGGCCGGCCUAGGGCAAAAGCCUGUUUCGUGUCUGCGUGACAUGUGAUGUUACUUUUGUUACUUUUUUGCUUUGGGUGGCACUGGUAUCACAUGGUUACUUUUGCUAUGGGUACUACGUGGCCAUCCAGUCGUGAGUGACUGGCAGUAAAUUUGGCACUGGUGCCUUCACUACACCUCACGCGUGGGUGCUUAUUUUUCUUAUUCUCCCGUACUUUUAAACAUAUCGCAGAAAUCACACCAUUAGAUUUAGUUCGUCCAACUGUGGAAAACGAACUGAAAAACUAUGCGGAGCGACACAGGUAGAGCGGACAGCAGCCGGCCGAAAUCACUGUUCUAACCUUUAGUGAUCUUUGUCACAAACUAAACUCGAUAGGAAAGUAUUUCACGACCUGACCCUCUUAGCAACGUCGCAGCCCGCGGCGUUUAUGCCCGACAUAGAAACGCCAAGCCAUGGAGCGUUUCCGCGCCACAAAGACACGCCGAGCAGGCUCGCGUUUCAGCCCUGGCCCAUGGUCAGCCCGAGCGCGUGUUGCUCGAUGACGUGGCAGGUCUGAAACGCCAUGAGCCAUGGCGUUGCUGCGGCUGGAACGCCAGAGACCAUGGCGUUGCUGGCCUGAAUUAAUUAAUGCACGCGGGGCCACGGGUGGGACCCAGCCCACUCGCAGCCUCGGGUCGGGCAGUUCUUCCUUAGCCGCAAGAGAAGAACUGACGGUCGCCCCUCUCUCCUUCUUCACCAAAUCCCUCCCAAAUCCUCUGUUUUGACCAUCAAAACGAGUAGAUCAGACCAUCCCCGAGUUGCUUGAGGUAUUCUCCUCCCAAUCCUCCAUUUUUUCAGUCAAGAUUGGCUAUCGUAGAUACAUUUUUUCAAACAUGGUUGAACCCUUAGAUGGGUUGUUUGUGAUUUGUUUGAUGAAUAUUUGGGUUUGAUUAUGUUUAGAAAGAAGAUAUACUAUUUGUGUUGAAGUAUUCUUAGUGAACUUGUGUAAUAUUGGAUUUAGAGAUAAACCAUUAUUUUGGAUUAGGUUGAAUCCUAAGAUUAUUUGUUCAUAAUUACUUGUAAUAAGUUCUUUGGGAUAAACUUGGUUGAAAAGAAUUGGUGUUGGUAAUGUGGUUGUGGAUUUGUAGUAGUUUCUCAAACGAUUCUGUAUGCAAUGUGGUCAUAAUUUUAAGCAUAUGUCAUAACAAAUCCAUUCACCUUAUUUUGUAGGAUGUUUGGGCCGGAUAAAUACCCUGGCCUUGAUGAUUAUUACGAGAAGAAGCAUCGUGUUGUGCUAGUGGAAAGAGGGGAGGUAAUUAUGCAUCUACAUUGUUUGAUUUCCAUAUUGUGACAAAUUGAGAGAAGUAUCAGAAUUGUGCAUUUGUUUUUUAGGUUCCUCCAAUACUUCGGUUGAGGGGCCACAACCCGCGUGAAUCUCUGAAAUAUGACCGUCGCUACGAGCCUUGUUUUAGAAGAAUGGAUCUUCUUCAGUUUGUGCUCAACUUUAAAGGGACACCAUCAUGGCUGAACUUGACGGCCAUUACCGCCCUUACGGACCGUUGGAGGCCAGCGACACACUCUUUUCACCUUGCUCUUGGUGAGAUGACUUUGGAGGAUAUUGCGAUGAUCUCUAGGCUUCCGAUCAAGGGCAGGGCUCUUACCGCAAGGUGAAGUCUGAUGGGUGGUGACAAUGGGUUGCAAGAUUGGUUGGUGUUGAACCUCCCCCGUGGAUUCAUGAAACAAAGAAGGAUCCUAGGCCAUCCGGUGUGUUGUUCUCGUGGCUACAAGAACAUUUUUAUGAGUGCCCAGAGGAUGCUAGUCUGACUGUUGUGGAGAGGUACGCCAGGGUUUACUUAUGGAAUCUUUUGGCCCAAGUGGUGUUUCCGGAUGGCACGGGGGACACAGCCUCAUGGAUGUUCUUGGACCCUCUUCGUGACUCGGAUGUAAGUGGAGUUGGGGGUCGGCUGCACUAGCCUUCUUGUACUGUCAGGUAAUGCUUACUAUGAUGCACUUUCGUUAUAUGAAAUAGAUGUUUGCAUGUGAUCGUUUAAGGUUUGUACAAAUGUGCAGUUGGACGAAGCAUGUAUGAGGAGUAAGCCGAAAUCUUGUCUAGGUGGUUUCGUUUGGCCCUACAGAUUUAGAUGUGGGAGUGUAUCCCUGUAGGCUGUAACGUCAAUAUUGCUCCGGAAGAACCUUGGGAGUGGCCUUUUAAUGGGGAUGAGGAGCGGUACCCCACUAUCGCAUACACAUGGGCAAAUGUCCAAGUGUCGAGUAUCGUCGCCAUGGGGCGGUACAAGGCAUACAUAAGCGAGCUUGACAUGCUGAGUUAUAAUCAGGUAAUUAUCCAAAUGCUUUGUCAUCAUUCCUAAUAUUUUUUUUGUGUAUGGGCGAGUGACAUGUUGUGAUCUAGGUCAAUUGGAGGCCGUACAUGGUACUUAAGCAGUUCCUUUGAGCAAUAUGUGCCUUUGUGACAAACAUCUUUGGCGUGUGUGGUGCCCCUUGAUAUGCUUUCUUGCGGUUGAGUGACAUCUUCCACAUCGUGUUUCAAAGCAAUUUGGAGUACAACAACGCACCCCGCUGGACUACGCUGAGACAAGUGUGCUACUACAUAGGUGAGAGUUUUUGUACCACUUGACCAAUGUCUAACACGAAAAAAUGAAACUGAUGUAUUCUUCUCAUGCUUUGUAGGACGAGCCGGCAAAACAACAAGAAUGUCACGAGCUGGGAGGAUCACCACCUUAUGUGGGUGGACAUGUGAAAUGCUUAGAGGAAUGCUCGAGUUGAAAAUGAUCGUCAGGGCACCGGCGGCGGGGCCAUCAGCGUCGACGGGCGGGAGGCGGGCGGGCGGGAGUCGGCUGGUCGCGCGGAAGACAAUUGAGCGGUAGUUGGGCAGUUGGCGGGCGGUUGCGUCUUUUCUCUCAUAUGGUGGAGAUGCAAAUUUGCAUCGCGAGGUGUUGCAGUUUACAUCUCCAGAAGGCAAAGAUGUAAUAUAUUUUUUACAUCUACGUCAUCUGUUGGAGAGGUGUUUUUGGACAUCGGAUAUGCGAAAUGUAGUUAUUUUUGCAUAUACCAAUAGAUGCUCUAAUCAACUAUGCUCUCCCGCUCCAUGCACAAAUGAACCUCACACCUUCCCCAUUAAUAUUGCAAAACACCGUCGAAUCACCAGGGAAAUUAUUCCCACAGCCACUGAAUCAGCGAGUAUCUCCAACACCACCUAGGAUGAAGAUCAACCUCCCAGCCUCCGCCCUUUCGCCGUACUCCAAUUGCAUGGAUUUACCAGUUCCAUCUGUACUGCAGAAUACAGUACGUAGGUGGCGCCAUACAACUUUUAAAAAUGUACUGUUGAUCGACACUGUGUAAGACGAGCGUGCAGAUCUGUGCACUGCAAUGCCUGUAGCCUGACUGCCCUGGAGCCGAGCAGGUCGGCACCCGCACGCAUAGGGCACCGGAACGUGAGGACACGGCCUAGUGCAGGGCAGAGGCAGGCCCAGCGGCACCUUUUGUUUAAUCGAAUCUCCGCCGACUAGUUUCUUUCAGAGGUAGUACGUGUACCCCGGCCCAACGCUUCGUGCUUGGGAAAUGUCUGCCUUUUGACAACUUUAAAUCCAUGCAAUGGAGUGCAUCGGCCAUCCGUGAAUGAUGGGAUGCAAAAUAUUACUUCAUCCGGCUUAAAAUAAUCAAAACUUUAAACUAAGGUUAGUUUAAAACUACGUUACUUAUUAGUACUAGAUAGGAGGGAGUAGUACUUCUAGACUUGUUUGUAGACAAAUUCAUAUAGGUAUAGGUAUAGGUGGGAUUUUCCUUCUGGAUAAACUACUUCCAGUUUGUGUUCGGAUUCGGGGGGUGUCUGGUUCAGGGACUUUUUAGGCUCAGAGACUAGAAAAAAUCUCUAAAAAGUCCCUAGGAACCAAACGGGAGGGACUUUUUCUACAGGGACUAGAAAAAGACUCUACUAGAGAAUCUUUUUUGAUUAGUCCCUGGGAUUAGAAAAAGUCCUAGGACUUCUGAACCAAACACCCCCUCAUUCCCUCUGUAGCUGCAAACACAUAAGGUACAUACGUUAGCGCCUGUUUGGUUUCAAAUAAGUCACCAACUUAUAAGUCGAAAAGUGAAAAAAGUGACUUAUUUUACCAAACAGACCCAACUUAUAAGUCACCCCAACUUAUAAGUCAUAAGUUGCUCCACCCUAACUUAAAACUUAUAAGUCACCCCCUUUUGCGUGGGUCCCAUUACCUUUACAUAAAAAAACAAGAUGAAAAGGUGUGGUCAGGUGACUUAUAAGUCAGGUCACAACCAAACAGGCGUGACUUAUAAGUCACUGGUUUUAAGUCAUCUGACUUAUAAGUCAGGUGAUUUAUUGGAACCAAACAAGCCCUUAUGACAAUCCAUACAUUACCUCACAAUAUAUAGUUCUACAGUGUUACUUAACUUAGGAGUGUGAGAUUAAUUAACACUUACUAUAUGUGUCAAGCGCGCCAUUGCAAGUUGGUUAAUUAUCAAAGACCGAAGAAGAUGAGUUGAAGUUGCACCAGUGCAGAUUGGGUCCUCGCACCACGGACAGGGCUAAAACCUCCUAUCGCAAAGACAAUUUUCUGGCGACGGUGUGCAUAGGGGUGCGUCACAUACGAUAGAGGAUAGUAUGCGACAUGUCGGUUUAUCGCACACAUUACACCUGAUAGCAAAAGUGUGUAAAGGAGCGAGGUUUUUAAAUUUGGCAUAUUUCCCCCCUAAAGCAUAGCACAAGAAGAACUAGAGGGAGGGAGCACAUGUGUCAGAAAAAGAGAGAGAGAAAACCGGACGAGAGAAGCGGUGUGAGACAGAAAGAAAACCGAGAAGGGAAAAGUGAUGCGGGGCGGAAUUUUUUUGAGGGAGACGCAUUGCGGGGCAAAAAAAAGCAAAGUGGGUAGAAAAAUAGUGAGGGAAAUACUCCCUCUUUUUCAAAACAUAAGGUGUAUUAGUCUUUUAAGAAAUAAAAAAUGUGUAUGUUUGACCAGGUUUUAGAAAAAGAAUACCAAUAUCUACGAUACCAAAUUUGUAUAAUUAGAUCCAUCAUGAAAAUUAUUUUUAUAUUUUGUUAUUUUUGUAUUGUAGAUGUCAAUGUUUAUUCUAUAAUCUUGAUCAAACAUACAUAAGUUUUACUUGCAUGAAAAUCGAUAUUCUGAAGAGGGAAUAGAUCGGAUCAAGCGCUACACGGCUACAAGAUGCGGAUCAGGCGGCGAGUUGUUCAGUUGUAACAAGACUCGCGACGUUCGCUAGAUACAUUAUAGGUAUAUGUGUUGCUAAAACACAAUCAAUAGUUCUACCGUGCUACUUAAUUUUAUGUGCCUGCAGUUACUUAGGCUGGUCACAAUGGACAAGAACAUAAGCUAGUAACUUACACACUUCCCUAGACUAUGUUACUACCUUCAUAGUGGGUAGUAACAUUUAUGUAGUGUCAUGCAACGAUGUAUUUAUUAGGUUAUAAACUCAUUGUUUCUUGGAGUGUGUGAUGUUCCGGUAACUUAGCUAGUUACCACAAGCACCUCUCUCUUCAUUAAAUAUGUGCCACAUAAGUAAAGUUGUAUUGGAGUGUGUGAUGUUACUCCUAAGAGCAUGGUUAAUAGUAUAGCCAGCUGUUGGCUAUAAGCCAGUGUCAUGUUAUAUACAUCUCAUCUUAUAGCCAACAUGUACAAUAAUAGAUCAAUAGAGUGUACUACUUUUUUAUUAUGUGGCCCACCUUUCAUUCUCAUAAAGUGCCUAGAAGCAUGUGCUAGAGCUGGCUCUUCACGAAGAGUCCGCUUACCUUCUCUCUCAUCUUCUCUUUCCUCCAACUAAGCAAAAAUAUAUUAGUUUAUUCCUUAUAGCUCGCUGACUCAGCUCUAUUAUACUUGCUCUAAGUUCCUCCCCAUUGUGACCAGCCUUAAUACCUACUACACUCUCUGUCCCAAAAUAAGUUAAGACACUUAUUUUGGGACGGAGGGAGUACUAUAUCCGCAUUCAUUCCUAAAAAACAAUAUAGUAUGUCUUUUCCAUUCUGGUACAUUGUCUGUUUGUCGAUAGUAAUAAGAUAAUGAAUUUAUAAGAGCACCAAAUCUAAAUCCUAGUCAGUAGUCACCUAGAUCUGUCAUGCGUACUGUGAUAAAGUCAAAAAGCUUAAUCGAGAUGGUGAUUGUGUUGGAGAACGUAGCAAUAAUUCAAAUUUUUCUACGCAUCACCAAGAACAAUCUAUGGAGUCUUCUAGCAACGAGAGGGAAAAGAGUGCAUCUACAUACCCUUGUAGAUCGCGAGCGGAAGCGUUCAAGUGAACGGGGUUGAUGGAGUCGUACUCGUCGUGAUUCAAAUCACCGAUGACCGAGCGCCGAACGGACGGCACCUCUGCGUUCAACACACGUACGGAGCGGGGACGUCUCCUCCUUCUUGAUCCAGCAAGGGGGAGGAGAAGUUGAUGGAGAUCCAGCAGCACGACGGCGUGGUGGUGGAAGUAGCAGGAUCCCGGCAGGGCUUCGCCAAGCGCAAGCGGGGAGGAAGAGGUGUCACGGGAGGGAGGGAGGCGCCAGGGCUUGGGGUGCUGCUCCCAUGCGCCUCCCCACUAUAUAUAGGGGUGGAGGGGGCUGGUUUCUUUCCCCCAAGUCCAUUGGGGCGUUGGCAAAGGUGGGGGAAAGAAAUCCCAUCAUUUCCCUUCCCCACCGAUUGUUAUCCCCUUUUUUAGGGAUCUUGAUCUUAUCCCUUCGGGAUAUGAUCUUAUUCCUUCUAAGGUGGGAUCUUGGUGCGCCUUGACCAGGGGUGUGGGGCCUUGCCCCCACUAUCCACGUUCAUGUGGGUCCCCCAUGCAGGUGGGCCCCACUUCGGAACCUUCUAGAACCUUCCCGGUAUAAUAGCGAAAAAUCCCGAACAUUUUCCGGUGGCCAAAAUAGGACUUCCCAUAUACAAAUCUUUACCUCCGGACCAUUCCGGAACUCCUCGUGACGUCCAGGAUCUCAUCCGGGACUCCGAACAACUUUCGGUUAACCGCAUACUAAUAUCUCUACAACUCUAGCGUCACCGAACCUUAAGUGUGUAGACCCUACGGGUUCGGGAGACAUGUAGACAUGACCGAGACAUUUCUCCGGUCAAUAACCAACAGCGGGAUCUGGAUACCCAUGUUGGCUCCCACAUGUUCCACGAUGAUCUCAUCGGAUGAACCACGAUGUCGAGGAUUCAAUCAAUCCCGUAUACAAUUCCCUUUGUCAAUCGGUACGUUACUUGCCCGUGAUUCGAUCGUCGGUAUCCUAAUACCUUGUUCAAUCUCGUUACCGGCAAGUCACUUUACUCGUACCGUAAUGCAUGAUCCCGUGACUAACUACUUAGUCACAUUGAGCUCAUUAUGAUGAUGCAUUACCGAGUGGGCCCAGAGAUACCUCUCCGUCAUACGGAGUGACAAAUCCCAGUCUCGAUUCGUGCCAACCCAACAGACACUUUCGGAGAUACCUGUAAUGCACCUUUAUAGCCACCCAGUUACGUUGUGACGUUUGGUACACCCAAAGCAUUCCUACGGUAUCCGGGAUUUGCACAAUCUCAUGGUCUAAGGAAAUGAUACUUGACAUUAGAAAAGCUCUUAGCAAACGAACUACACGAUCUUGUGCUAUGCUUAAGAUUGGGUCUUGUCCAUCACAUCAUUCUGCUAAUGAUGUGAUCCCGUUAUCAAUGACAUCCAAUGUCCAUGGUCAGGAAACCAUAACCAUCUAUUGAUCAACGAGCUAGUCAACUAGAGGCUUACUAGGGACAUGUUGUGGUCUAUGUAUUCACACAUGUAUUACGGUUUCUAGUUAAUACAAUCAUAGCAUGAACAAUAGACAAUUAUUAUGAAUAAGGAAAUACAAUAAUAACCAUUUUAUUAUUGCCUCUAGGGCAUAUUUCCAACAGUCUCCCACUUGCACUAGAGUCAAUAAUCUAGUUCACAUCACCAUGUGAUUAACACUCAAAGUUCACAUCGCCAUGUGACUAAUACCCAAGAGUUACUAGAGUCAAUAAUCUAGUCCACAUCACCAUGUGAUUAACACUCAAUGAGUUCUAGGGUUUGAUCAUGUUAUGCUUACGAGAGAGGUUUUAAUCAACGGGUCUACAACAUUCAGAUCCGUGUGUGCUUUACAAAUCUCUAUGUCAUCUUGUAGAUGUAGCUACCACGCGCCACUUGGAACUAUUCCAAAUAACUGCUCUACUAUACGAAUCCGGUUUACUACUCAGAGUCAUCCGGAUUAGUGUCAAAGUUUGCAUCGACGUAACCCCUUACGACGAACUCUUUCACCACCUCCAUAAUCGAGAAAAUUCCUUAGUCCACUAGAUACUAAGGAUAAGUUCGACCGCUGUCAUGUGAUCCAUUCCUGGAUCACUCUUGUACCCCUUGACUGACUCAUGGCAAGGUACACUUCAGGUGCGGUACACUGCAUAGCAUACUGUAGAGCCUACGUCUAAAGCAUAGGGGACGACCUUCGUCCUUGCUCUCUCUUCUGCCGUGGUCAGGUCUUGAGUCUUACUCAAUACUCACACCUUGUAACACAGCCAAGAACUCCUUCUUUGCUGAUCUAUUUUGAACUCCUUCAAAAUCUUGUCAUGGUAUGUAUUCAUUUGAAAGUACUAUUAAGCGUUUUUGAUCUAUCCUUAUAGAUCUUGAUGCUCAAUGUUCAAGUAGCUUAAUCCAGGUUUUCCAUCGAAAACACUUUUCAAAUAACCCUGUAGCUUUCCAGAAAUUCUACAUCAUUUCUGAUCAACAAUAUGUUAACAACAUAUACUCAUCAAAAAUUCUAUAGUGCUCCCACUCACUUCUUUGGAAAUACAAGUUUCUCCUAAACUUUGUAUAAACCCAAAAUCUUUGAUCAUCUCAAAUGCUUACUCCAGUCCUUAGAAGGAUUGCUGGAGCUUUGCAUACUUGUUAGCAUCUUUCAGGAUUGACAAAACCAUCUGGUUGUAUCACAUGCAACCUUUCCUCAAGAAAAUCGUCGAGGAAACAAUGUUUUGACAUCCUAUCUGCAAGAUUUCAUAAAUAAUGCAGUAACUGCUAAUAUAGUUCCAACAGACUCUUAGCAUCGCUACGAGUGAGAAAGUCUCAUCGCAGUCAACUCCUUGAACUUGCCGAAAAACAUCUUAACGACAAGUCGAGCUUUCUUAAUGGUGACACUUACCAUCAUUGUCUGUCUUCCCUUUAAAAUCCAUCUGUACCCAACAGCCUUACGACCAUCAAGUAGUUCUUUCAAAGUCUAUACUUUGUUUUCAUACAUGGAUCCUCUCGGAUUUUAUGGCCUCAAGCCAUUCGUCGGAAUCCGGGCCCACCAUCGCUUCUCCAUAGCUCGUAGGUUCAUUGUUGUCUAGCAACAUGACUUCCAAGACGGGAUUACGUACCACUCUGAAGUAGUACGCAUCCUUGUCGUCCUAUGAGGUUUGGUAGUGACUUGAUCUGAAGUUUCAUGAUCACUAUCAUAAGCUUCCACUUCAAUUGGUGUAGGUGCCACAGGAACAACUUCCUGUGCCCUGCUACACAUUAGUUGAAGUGACGGUUCAAUGAACUCAUCAAGUCUCCACCAUCCUCCCACUCAAUUCUUUCGAGAGAAACUUUUCCUCGAGAAAGGACCCGUUUCUAGAAACAAUCACUUUUGCUUCCAGAUCUGAAAUAGGAGUUAUACCCAACUGUUUUGGGUAUUCUAUGAAGAUGCAUUUAUCCGCUUUGAGUUCGAGCUUAUCAGCCUGAAACUUUUUCACAUAAGCGUCGCAGCCCCAAACUUUUAAGAGACGACAGCUUAGGUUUCUCUAAACCAUAGUUCAUACGGUGUCGUCUCAACGGAAUUGCGUGGUGCCCUAUUUAAAGUGAAUGCGGUUGUCUCUAAUGCCUAACCCAUAAACGAUAGUUGUAAUUCGAUAAGAGACAUCAUGGUAUGCACCAUAUCCAAUAGGGUGCAGUUAUGAUGUUCGGACACACCAUCACAAUAUGGUGUUCCAGGCGGUAUUAGUCGUGAAACAAUUUCCACAAUUUCUUAAUUGUGUGCCAAACUCGAACUCAGAUAUUCAUCUCUAUGAUCAUAUCACAGACAUUUUAUCCUCUUGUCACGACGAUCUUCAACUUCACUCUGAAAUUACUUGAACCUUUCAAUAAUUCAGACUUGUGUUUCAUCAAGUAAAUAUUCUCAGCAUCUACUCAAAUCAUCUGUGAAGUAAGAACAUAACGAUAUCCACUGCGUGCCUCAGCACUCAUUGGAGUGCACACAUCAAAUGUAUUACUUCCAACAAGUUGCUCUCUUGUUCCAUCUUACUGAAAACGAGGCCUUUCAGUCAUCUUGCCCAUGUGGUAUGAUUUGCAUGUCUCAAGUGAUUCAAAAUCAAGUGAGUCCAAAUGAUCCAUCUGUAUGGACUUUCUUCAAGCAUAUAUACUAAUAGACAUGGUUCGCAUGUCUCAAUCUUUUCAAAAACGAGUGAGUCCAAAGAUCCAUCAACAUGGAGCUUCUUCAUGCGUUUUAUACCAAUAUGACUCAAGUGGCAGUGCCACAAGUAUGUGGUACUAUCAUUACUUUCUUAUAUCUUUUGGCAUGAACAUGUGUAUCACUACGAUCGAGAUUCAAUAAACCAUUCAUUUUAGGUGCAAGACCAUUGAAGGUAUUAUUCAAAUAGACAGAGUAACCAUUAUUCUCCUUUAAUGAAUAACCGUAUUGCGAUAAACAUAAUCCAAUCAUGUCUAUGCUUAACGCAAACACCAAAUAACAAUUAUUCAGGUUUAACCCCAAUCUCGAUGGUAGAGGGAGCAUGCGAUGCUUGAUCACAUCAACCUUGGAAACACAUAUCGUCAUCUCACCUUUAGCUAGUCUCCGUUUAUUCCGCAGCCUUUUAUUUCGAGUUACCAACACUUAGCAACCGAACCGGUAUCUAAUACCCUGGUGCUACUAGGAGUACUACUAAAGUACACAUUAAUAUAAUGUAUAUCCAAUAUACUUCUGUCGACCUUGCCUACCUUCUCAUCUACCAAGUAUCUAGGGUAGUUCUGCUUCAGUGACCGUUCCCCUCAUCUCAGAAGCACUUAGUCUCGGGUUUGGGUUCAACCUUGGCUUUCUUCACUAGAGCUGCAACUGAUUUGCCGUUUCAUGAAGUAUCCCUUGUUGCCCGUGCCCUUCUUGAAACUAACCAUCAACAAUUGAUGCUCCUACUUGAUUUCUACUUUCGCGGUGUCAAACAUCGCGAGUUGCUCAAGGAUCAUCAUGUCUAUCCCUGAUAUGUUAUAGUUCAUCACGAAGCUCUAAUAGCUUGGUGGCAGUGACUAUGGAGAACCAUCACUAUCUCAUCUGGAAGAUUAACUCCCACUCGAUUCAAGCGAUUGUAGUACUUAGACAAUCUGAGCACAUGCUCAACGGUUGAGCUUUUCUCCCUUAGUUUGCGGGCUUAAGAAACCUGUCAGAGGUCUCAUACCUCUUGACGUGGGCACGAGCCUAAAAUCCCAAUUUCAGCUCUUGGAACAUCUCAUAUGUUCUGCGACGUUUCAAAAUGUCUUCGGUGCCUCAAUUCUAAACCGUUCAACAUUACGCACUGAACUAUCACGUAGUCGUCAAAACGUGUAUGCAACAUCCACAAACGAUGCUCGAGGUUCAGCACACCGAGCGGUGCAUUAAGGACAUAAGCUUUCUGUGCAGCAAUGAGGACAAUCCUCAGUUUACGGACCCAGUCCACAUAAUUGCUACGAUUAACUUUCAACUAAAUUUUCUCUAGGAACAUAUCUUUAGUAGAACUAAAGCGUAAGCUACGACAUAAUUUGCAAAGACCUUUUGACUAUGUUCAUGAUAAUUAAGUUCAUCUAAUCAAAUUAUUUAAUGAACUCCCACUCAGAUAGACAUCCCUCUAGUCAUCUAAGUGAUACAUGAUCCGAGGCAACUAGGCCGUGUCCGAUCAUCACAUGAGACGGACUAGUCAUCAUUGGUGAACAUCUCCAUGUUGAUCGUAUCUACUAUACGACUCAUGUUCGACCUUUCGGUCUCUUGUGUUCCGAGGCCAUGUCUGUACAUGCUAGGCUCGUCAAGUCAACCUAAGUGUUUCGCAUGUGUAAAUCUGGCUUACACCCGUUGUAUGCGAACGUUAGAAUCUAUCACACCCGAUCAUCACGUGGUGCUUCGAAACAACGAACCUUCGCAACGGUGCACAGUUAGGGGGAACACGUCUCUUGAAAUUUUAGUGAGGGAUCAUCUUAUUUAUGCUACCGUCGUUCUAAGCAAAUAAGAUGCAAACAUGACAAACAUCACAUGCAAAUCAUAAAGUGACAUGAUAUGGCCAAUAUCAUCUUGCGCCUUUGAUCUCCAUCUUCGAGGCGCGGCAUGAUCACCUUCGUCACCGGCAUGACACCAUGAUCUCCAUCAUCAUGAUCUCCAUCAUCAUGUCUUCAUGAAGUUGUCUCGCCAACUAUUACUUCUACUACUAUGGCUAAUAGUUAGCAAUAAAGUAAAGUAAUUACAUGGCGUUUUCAUUGACACGCAGGUCAUACAAUAAAUUAAGACAACUCCUAUGGCUCCUGCCGGUUGUCAUACUCAUCGACAUGCAAGUCGUGAUUCCUAUUACAAGAACAUGAUCGAUCUCAUACAUCACAUAUAUAAUUCAUCACAUCCUUUUGGCCAUAUCACAUCACAUAGCAUACCCUGCAAAAAUAAGUUAGACGUCCUCUAAUUGUUGUUGCAUGUUUUACGUGGCUGCUAUGGGUUUCUAGCAAGAAUGUUUCUUACCUACGCAAAAGCCACAACGGUGAUAUGACAAUUGCUAUUUACCCUUCAUAAGGACCCUCUUCAUCGAAUCCGAUCCGACUAAAGUGGGAGAGACAGACACCCGCUAGCCACCUUAUGCAUCAAGUGCAUGUCAGUCGGUGGAACCUGUCUCACGUAAGAGUACGUGUAAAGUCGGUCCGGGACGCUUCAUCCCGCAAUGCCGCCGAAUCAAGAUAAGACUAGUAACGGCAAGAAAAUUGAACAAAUCAACGCCCACAACUACUUUGUGUUCUACUCGUGCAUAGAAUCUACGCAUAAACCUGGCUCUGAUACCACUGUUGGGGAACGUAGCAAUAAUUCAAAUUUUUCUAUGCAUCACCAAGAACAAUCUAUGGAGUCUUCUAGCAACGAGAGGGAAAAGAGUGCAUCUACAUACCCUUGUAGAUCGCGAGCGGAAGCGUUCAAGUGAACGGGGUCGAUGGAGUCGUACUCGUCGUGAUUCAAAUCACCGAUGACCGAGCGCCGAACGGACGGCACCUCCACGUUCAACACACGUACGGAGCGGGGACGUCUCCUCCUUCUUGAUCCAGAAAGGGGGGAGGAGAAGUUGAUGGAGAUCCAGCAGCACGACGGCGUGGUGGUGGAAGUAGCAGGAUCCCGGCAGGGCUUCGCCAAGCGCAAGCGGGGAGGAAGAGGUGUCACGGGAGGGAGGGAGGCGCCAGGGCUUGGGGUGCUGCUCCCAUGCGCCUCCCCACUAUAUAUAGGGGUGGAGGGGGCUGCUUUCUUUCCCCCAAGUCCAUUGGGGCGUUGGCAAAGGUGGGGGGAAGAAAUCCCAUCAUUUCCCUUCCCCACCGAUUGUUAUCCCCCUUUUUUAGGGAUCUUGAUCUUAUCCCUUCGGGAUAUGAUCUUAUUCCUUCUAAGGUGGGAUCUUGGUGCGCCUUGACCAGGGGUGUGGGGCCUUGCCCCCACUACCCACGUUCAUGUGGGUCCCCCAUGCAGGUGGGCCCCACUUCGGAACCUUCUAGAACCUUCCCGGUACAAUAGCGAAAAAUCCCGAACAUUUUCCGGUGGCCAAAAUAGGACUUCCCAUAUAUAAAUCUUUACCUCCGGACCAUUCCGGAACUCCUCGUGACGUCCGGGAUCUCAUCCGGGACUCCGAACAACUUUCGGUUAACCGCAUACUAAUAUCUCUACAACUCUAGCGUCACCGAACCUUAAGUGUGUAGACCCUAUGGGUUCGGGAGACAUGUAGACAUGACCGAGACAUUUCUCCGGUCAAUAACCAACAGCGGGAUCUGGAUACCCAUGUUGGCUCCCACAUGUUCCACGAUGAUCUCAUCGGAUGAACCACGAUGUCGACUUUUCAAUCAAUCCCGUAUACAAUUCCCUUUGUCAAUCGGUAUGUUACUUGCCCGUGAUUCGAUCGUCGGUAUCCCAAUACCUUGUUCAAUCUCGUUACCGGCAAGUCACUUUACUCGUACCGUAAUUCAUGAUCCCGUGACUAACUACUUAGUCACAUUGAGCUCAUUAUGAUGAUGCAUUACCGAGUGGGCCCAGAGAUACCUCUCCGUCAUACGGAGUGACAAAUCCCAGUCUCGAUUCGUGCCAACCCAACAGACACUUUCGGAGAUACCUGUAAUGCACCUUUAUAGCCACCCAGUUACGUUGUGACGUUUGGUACACCCAAAGCAUUCCUACGGUAUCCGGGAGUUGCACAAUCUCAUGGUCUAAGGAAAUGAUACUUGACAUUAGAAAAGCUCUUAGCAAACGAACUACACGAUCUUGUGCUAUGCUUAAGAUUGGGUCUUGUCCAUCACAUCAUUCUGCUAAUGAUGUGAUCCCGUUAUCAAUGACAUCCAAUGUCCAUGGUCAGGAAACCAUAACCAUCUAUUGAUCAACGAGCUAGUCAACUAGAGGCUUACUAGGGACAUGUUGUGGUCUAUGUAUUCACACAUGUAUUACGGUUUCCAGUUAAUACAAUUAUAGCAUGAACAAUAGACAAUUAUUAUGAACAAGGAAAUACAAUAAUAACCAUUUUAUUAUUGCCUCUAGGGCAUAUUUCCAACAGAUUGCAGAACCCAUUCCAAGCCCACGUAGUGUUCUGCACGUUAUUGAUCGGUCUUAGCAGCAGCAAACAUGCGUAGUUAUUUUGUUGAAGGCUUUGCGUCUUUCUUAUUAUGCUGGCCUUUGUUGGUUGCACUCGACAAUCAGAAUAAAAAAAUGUGUCCUUGUUAUUGUCGGAUGGACGUGGCGAUGUCAACAUGCAUGAGUGUAUUCCUUCUUGAAGGCAUUGUGAUGUAGGGCCCAACCCUUGUUUGCCUGAUCUCACGAAUUUAAGGUGGAUAUGGAGAAGAACAUGGGAAAAAUAUGUAAAAAAAAGGGGAAACACUCUAUUGAAUAAGAUCCGCAACAAGUACUCCUCAAAUCACUAACAGUACGUGGAUGCAUGAAGAUCCAAUAGCAACAAGGAAAAUGAAGAUACACAGGUAGUUAUUGAGAGAGGGUACUUCUCCAGAUCUCAUGAGAGAGACGAAAGUCUUGAUGAUCCUAUGAUGUGGAUUCUUCCUCAAAGGGGGCUUGAAUUCCUAGAAGAAUGUUCUCCUAAGUGGUCUUGAAUCCACUUAUGGAUCUAUUGCUAAGAGGAAUUUCACUAGGGGAGGUAGAUGAGCUAAGCUCUCUCUUUUCUCUCUAUUCUAGCUAACCCUAGAAAUGAGGUGGGGGAAGAGUAUAUAUAGUGCCACCCACGAAGGGAUAAGUGUGGGAGAGAUAGGGGUACAUGGGCCAUGGGCCAACUCAGUGCAUGCAGGCACAUGUCGGAUGUUCCAACUUGGGGUCAGACAUUCUGACCAUGUCGAUGGUUACCUCGGACAUUCCGACUUAGAUAGAGCCGAAAAUCAUUAGUGGAGGUUGGGUAGGAGGUCAGGUCGGACAUCCGACUUUCUUGAAGCUUCUGGGUCUUGUUUCCCGCCAUUCCUUCUCCAAUUCUAAGCUUCCAUCUUGGAUGGUGUAGUAGUUCUUUUACACUUGAACUUCUCCUCAUCAUCAGUGAAGCUCUGCUCAAAUCUAUACAUGCACGAUGAAGAGUCAAGUAGUAUACUAUCCUUGAAGGGGACAAAAAGACAUGUGUAAAGGAGAAGAUUCACCUUUGCAUAUUUGCAAAGGAGUUCUUGACAUGAUGAUGCCCAUAGGAUGCUCCGGAUCACAUUGCGGAAGAUUUCGACUUAGUCGUAGGUAUUAAAUUCAUAUAUCUUAUAAUGGUUCUAAUACAGAUGUAUAUGUUAUGUACUCGUUUGUUCAUGACUUCGACCUUGUCAAACAUCAACUUUGGCCAUGUUUGGUUCCAUGAGUUAGAGUUAGUCUGGGUUAGUUUGGACUCGACUAACCCAAAAAUAUCCAAACAGGAGGGUUAGUUUGGGUUAGAUGCAUCUAACCUAUCCAAAAAAUCUAACCCACCCAAGAGGUGCUUAUUUGGGUUAGUUCUUUUUGGACCACUAAAAAAACACCUUUUUCUCUCGCUCUCCCUGCAGCAGAUCCCUCCUCACUUCCUUGAAGCUUCUCGUCCUCUCCCACCCUCCUUCUCGCACCGCCCGUGAAGACACCUCGCCGUAUCCGCGCUCCAUCUAACCCUGCUAUCCAAACACCUCUUUGGCUAGAGUUAGUUCAGGGUUAGAAUCUAACUCUAACCUCUAACUGAGUUAGAGUAUCCAAACAGGGCCUUUAAUAAAUAUGGUUGUGGUAGAAGCGGGGCGUUUCAAACUCUUUUGGGGGGAAAUGCAGUGACGACACUAACAACUGAGAUGUGAAAGCCGUCAGAGGACUAGAUAAUUUUAUAUUCGGAAUAGGGAGACCAAUAGAAAUUGAAUUCUUAGGAUUUCCCCACGUGAGUUGUGUCAUUUGUAAUCCUGUUUGAAUAGCGCCUGCCAUGAGAUUAAGGAAAGCGAACUUACAAGGUGUAUGCAUACGCAGUCGCCUCCUCUCCAAAGAAAUUAGGGUUCCUUUGCUUACCUUUGGCGUCGCCGCCGGUCCGCCUCAUCUUCGGUGGCCUUAGGGCCAUGGGGGGGUGGAUCCUGGCCCUUGCCAGUGGGAGGGCUCCAUUUUUAGAUGUUUCUUCAAGUUUUUUUAAGGGUUUUUAUCCUGCUCAGGAAGACGAGACGCUGACGGCUCUCUAAAGAUGGAAUAAGGUUCUCCCCGCUUAGCCCCGUCCCGAUGGUGCUCCUAGCAUCGUCGGUGGGCAUGUGGAGGUGUGUCUCCUGCAGAUCUAUCUUUGGGGGAUUUGCUCGGAUCUGGUCAUCGUUCGUCUUCAUUCGUGUGUUUUCAGGUUCGAUCCUUCCCGCUCUUCAUCGGCGACGGUUGUUAUUCUAGUGUGUUGGUCCUAUGGGGCCUUAGCAUGACAACUUCCCAACUGUCUACUACAACAGGUUUUCCCCGAUUCCGACAAGCGAGCGGCGACGACGGCGGCUCACCUUCGGCUUGCGUAAGUGCUUGUAGUCGUCGCUAGGUGGUCUACGGAUCUGGAUGUAAUACUUAUUAUUUUUUAUGUUCAUUGUACUACCAAUUGAAGAUAAAUAGUUAUGAAGUUCGUUUGCAAAAAAGAAAAUCAUCUUUGAAUACCUGCAAGGAGUCCUUUGCACUACAUUUGUUUCAUUUUUGGAUAAGAGGCUAUUGUCCGGCCUUAGAAUAAAGACACAUUUUAGACAUUUGUUUCUUAUAUAUGAUGUAUCUGAACAAAGUCUAGUGCUCUAUAUUUAUUUUUUGAAGAAAGUCUUUGAAAGAUCGUGGAUGUCGCCUAGAGGGGGUGAAUAGGCGCUUUAAAAAAAUUACGGUUAAGGCUUGAACAAAUACGGAAUAAACCUAGCGGUUAAUUUGACAAGCACAAAACCUACAACAACUAGGCUCACCUAUGUGCACCAACUUAUGCUAAGCAAGAUAAACUACUAGGUGAAAGCAAGAUAUAUGACAAGAAACAAUAUGGCUAUCAUAAAUUAGUAAAGUGCAUAAGGAAAGAGCUCGGGUAAGAGAUAACCGAGGCAUGCGGAGACGAUGAUGUAUCCCGAAGUUCACACCCUUGCGGAUGCUAAUCUCCAUUUGGAGCGGUGUGGAGGCACAAUGCUCCCCAAGAAGCCACUAGGGCCACCGUAAUCUCCUCACGCCCUCGCACAAUGCAAGAUGCCGUGAUUCCACUAAGGGACCCUUGAGGACGGUCACCGAACCCGUACAAAUGGCAACCCUUGGGGGCGGUCACCGAACCCGUACACUUUGGCAACCCUUGGGGGCGGUCACCGGUACCCGUUAAAUUGCUCGGGGCGAUCUCCACAACCUAAUUGGAGACCCCGACGCUUGCCCGGAGCUUUACAACACAAUGAUUGAGCUCCGAACAACACCAACCGUCUAGGGCGCCAAGGCACCCAAGAGGAACAAGCUCUAGGGUGCCCAAACACCCGAGAGUAAUAAGCUUCUCAAACUUCACUUCCACGUAUCACCGUGGAGAACUCAAACCUAUGCACCAAAUGCAAUGGCAAGGGCACAUGGAGUGCUCAAAUCCUUCUCUCUCAAAUCCCACCGAAGCAACUAAUGCUAGGGAGGAAGAUGAGAGGAAGAACAAGAAGGAGAACACCAAGAACUUCAAGAUCUAGAUCCAAUGGGUUCCCCUCACAUAGAGGAGAAAGUGAUUGGUGGAAAUGUGGAUCUAGAUCUCCUCUCUCUUUUCCCUCAAAAACUAGCAAGAAUCCAUGGAGGGAUUGAGAGUUAGCAAGCUCGAAGAAGGUCAACAAUGGGGGAAGAACACGAGCUCGAAGGAUGAGGUUCAACGGGGAAGAAGACCCCCUUUUAUAGGUGGGGGAAAAUCCAAACGUUAUGCUUACACCCCGCACCGAGCGGUACUACCGCUCCAAGGAGCGGUACUACCGCUAGGGCGGCAGUAGCCCUUCGAAAAACAACGACGAGGAGGCAAAAGGACAGAAGAACCGUCGGAGCGGUACUACCGCUUGUCCUCACGGUACUACCGCUAGGUGUAGCGGUACUACCGCUAGGGGUAGCGGUACUACUGCUUGCGGGCGGUACUAAAAAAUACAUCCGUGCCUACUUCCGAUGGACUUGGGACGAGUUUUUGGUCCAGAGCGGUACUACCGAUGUAGUAGCCACGGUAGUACUGCUCUGGAGCGGUACUAAAAAAUUACAUCCGCUCCUGUGCGCGGUAAUACCGCUGCAGCCUUUUGAGAACACCAAAACUGCCACAACUUCUGCAAACGGACUCCGAAUUCAACGAAACCAAGUUUGUUGGAAAGCUAGCGACAAGGGCUAACACAAUAUUGAUAGAAAUACCAAUAAGAAGCAAAUUAGAAAAGGCCCAUAAGAAAAUGGUGAGAACCCUUCCUCGGAAAAGACCGGUAAAACCUCCAACACCGAAAACAUAAUAGAAGACGCAUGCGAACUCCGUUUUCGAUGAACUCAAGCUUGUCAUCAAGAUGACCAUAAGCUCUAAGACUCACAAAGAGAACCAAACAAGAACCAAGAAACAUGAUGCAAGGAUGCAAUGGUUUGAGCUCUCUACUAACGAUACGAUCAAGCUACCAACUUGAGAGCCCCCCUUGAUAGUACGGCAAACGAUCCUAUAACCCGGUCUCCCAACUACCACCAUGAGACCGGUAAAAUAGAAAACCUAUCAAGGGCAAACCUUUGCCUUGAACAUGGUCCACUUGAGCUAGAUGAUGACGAUCUUGACUCCCUCAAGUUGGACCACCUUUCUUGAUUGCGUUGGCUCGAUGAAGACUAGAUGAUUGCUCCCUCAUACUCCACUAUGGGUGAGCCACUCUUCGGCACAUCUUCACAAGUCCAUUGACACCACAAUGGAUGGCAAGCUUCAAGCACUUGAUCUCUUCGUGAUGCUCCACUUGAACUUGCACAUGACAAUCUUGAUGACGAUCACCACUUGAUGUCAUCCUCUCCAUGGGUUGAGGGAUAUCUUCCUCUUGACGCAAGCCCAUGAACACGUACCUAACCCCACAUAGAACUCUCACAUAGACCAUGGGUUAGUACACAAAGCGCAAUGGACAAUGCUUACCAUACCAUGGGAUCACUUGAUCCCUCUCGGUACAUCUUGUAUGCUUUGUGAGUUGAUCAACUUGAUUCACUCUUGACUUAGUCUUGAUCAACCUUGAAUCUUUCCAACUCUCUUCAUUUGGAUGAUGUCUUGAAGGUAAACAUGAAUGAUCACACAAUCUUCUUUUUCAAGACAUGCUUGCAAUAAGCUCAACACUCACAUGACCAAUCUUAGAAUAAUUCCUUAAUAGCACCUUGGUCAACUCAUAAACUCCUUGAAACCAACACAUGGACUUCAAGAAAUGCCUAUGGACAAAUCCUUCAAAUAUAACUCAAGGCAACCAUUAGUCCAUAGAGAUUGUCAAUAAUUACCAAAACCAAACAUGGGGGAACCGCAUGUUCUUUCAAUCUCCCCCAUUUUGGUAAUUGAUGGCAAUCACUUUCAAGAGAGUUUGUAUAAGGAAUUAUGCAUCACCAUGCAAUGCGAAAACCAAUGAUGCAGGAGAAUGAGAUGCAAAUUCUUAGGAACAAAUCCAAAGCAAGGAGAAGACUCUGAAAACCUUCUCCAUAAAACUCCCUGAAACUUCUCCCCCAUUGGCAUCGAUUGCCAAAAUGGGCGAAAAGCUUAGAAGGCCAAUAUAAAAAGUGUUCCUCCAUAAAUUGUGUAUUUCUCAACAAGAUAGUGGAAUGCCAUACACAUAUCCAAAGGUAAAUACUUGGAGGAACACAAACUAUAUUGAGGCACAAAGAUUGCUAAAGAAUGAUAUGCCACAAGGACAUAACAAAGAGAGACACAAGCAAUCAAGCAGUCAAAAUAUACCAAUUGAAGCAAGCAAUCAACGGAUAUCAAUUGAGCCAAGUAGACCAAUGAUCCUACGUGCCAUAUGAAUGAAAUAAAUUAUGAUGUGAGCAAAGGAGUUUUCUAGAGAAACUAGAGAAGCUCCCCAUGAUUUGUGCACAAUUUAGUUUUGUAAUUGGAUACAACGAGCACAAAAUAGGAUCAUCACUCCCCCAAGAUCAAUAGAACCUCACGACAAGUGCAAGUGAGCAUGUAGGAAACAAAGCCUAGCACUUGCAACAAACAAAUGGUUGAGCAACAUAUAAAAGAGGCAACUUAAGAGUAGGCUUGACCAAAAUGAUGUGUGUGAGUCAUCGCAAAGCACUUGAGAAGACUAAUGUACGGAUGAGCAUUAAGCAUCAACAUAGUCUUGGAAGAAUGAGGCACAUGGUGCAAGGCCUAUCAUUCCCACACACAACUAGCAAAUGGGUUCACAAGCUUACUAAUAAGCAUAUAGAGAACCUAUGCUUGUGACAAACCGUGGUGAAGAUAGAAGAAGAAAGCCUCAUCAAGACGAGGGAUGCCAAUUAAAAAGCCUCGUAAAGAUAAGCAUGAGGAAAAUAAUCUUUACCACACAAGAGUGCAUCAAGAUGCAACGAUAUACGACACGCACUCAAGGCAAAAGCUUUCACGGGGCCACCAAAGAAAUAACAAAAGAGAGACAAGGUGGACGUGAAAGAAAGGAUAUCAUCUAGAGAUGUAAUUUCUCUCAAGUGUAUAAGGUUCUAGGUAGACGAAAUCAUGAUGAUAUAUAUCUACAAAGAAGGAUGUACACUCGAAAUAGUUACAACAAGAAGGAACAAGAUAUCCAAAAGGACGUCAUACAAUACCAAUAAGAUAUUUGCUUGAGAGCAUAGCACAUGGCUAGAUAUGGUCUUAUUGUAUAUAAAUGAAUUCCAACAACACGAACAUCAAAGACAUCACAACUAGCAACAAGAGAUCAUUGUUGGGAUGCUUUGAGAAAGGAAACAAGUAUCACAAGAAAGAAUGAAUAACAUGCCAUGAUACAACCUACACAAGGUUGAUGCAAGAAAUGUGUGCAUGAAGUAUAUGAAGAUACUUGUUACCGAGUUAACAUUGGAAGGAUGUAGUCGAUACCAAUUGAAGGUACAAAGUAGAUCAUUGAUCAUCCUAGCUUGACUCCAAUAAGCACAUGGUGACAACACCUUCCUUGUGAGUGAGCCGAGCAUCCAAUGCAUAUCCAAUUGUUCCUAGAACAACAACACAAACAAAAUGGUACCCAAACUCAUUGGGACCAAAGAGUUAGAGAACCAACAAUACAUAGGACAAACUCCACAUAAAUAUGUGCAUACAUAUAUGAGAAUGAAUUUCAUGCACAUCUCAUCCAAUUUGAGACUUGGUGGAGUUUCCCCUAUAAAUUGGGUCAAGGAGAGUAAGCAUGCCAAGGAAACUACAUGAAGUUAAUAUGCAUGCUCAAGACUUUCAAGAACCGAUACCAAAUGACAAAGAAAUACCAAGUGAAGAAAAGAUACCAAAUGAAUAAAUCAACACUUGGAGGAUAUCAAUUGAAAGAUACAUCAAGGAAUGAGAUAUCCAUUGAUACACGCAAAAAGAAAGAUGUCAAACUCCCAAAAGAGAGAAUGGUUCCAAACAAACCAAGCCCUCUACAAGGUUUCAUGAUGGCACAAAGUUACAAAAAGAAACGACUUGCCUUCCACAAACACACACUUGAUAAGAAUCACAAGAUGAGUGUUUUAUAUAAAAUAGGAUAGCUCCCCCAAGACUAGUGCAUUAUAGAGAAUUUGCACUUGAAUACAAAAAGCACAAGUUGGGAUCACCACUUUCACUAUAUCUAUACAAUCACUAGAAAAGCUCAAGGAAAUAACAAGAUCCACAAGUGGUAUGGAAAACAAUGGGAGUUGACACAAACCUAGGCAAGAGAUAAGGCAAAUAAAAGCAAAGGCCAAUGUAAAGAUGAUCAAUAAUUUCUACCACACAUAAGUGAGUACCAAUUGUCAAAAGACAAGAAGUAUUUGGAAAUAAUUCCCGGUAGUAGAUAGCAAGGAUAUCCGACAUCAUCUUCACACCAAACAAAAAGCAAAUUGCCACUUGUAGAGCUAACAUGCCACCUAGGAACAAGAUAAUUUACAAUAUCAAUUCUAGGUGACAAUAUCUCGAAUGUACACAUUUUCUAGGCUAGUAAUAUACACAUAGCAUAUUACUCCCCCAUAAUGUGAUACCAAUUAAAGAUAAACAAGAGGCAAAAUAACGAUCCAACAAGAGAUAAUUAAUGGACAAUUUAGAAUUUGAAUUUCUCAUGAGAAGACAUACCACAUAGUGACUAGAUAAUCUUGAAAUAUCAAUACUAGAUGGUAUUACUCAUGUACACAUAUAUAGGAUUGUGAGGUGCACAAAGCACAUCACUCCCCCAUAAUGGGAUAUUCCAUUAAUCUCUCACAAGAGCCAACUAAGAAAUAAACAAGAUGCAAAAGGCUCAACGCAUGACACACACGUACAUGAUGUGCAAACCAACACACACAUACUUGAUUGCUCAAGAUAAUCAAGUUGGAAGCACAACAUAUACAAACACAUGCAAGGAACGAAACCAAACAUGCAAAGGGGCAAGUAACUAUCAAUGUAAACACUUUAAGCACGAGUUACCGCAAGGAGGAACAUUGGAUAUAAGAUAGAAACUUGAUAAUCCGAAUGACUUGGCUUGAGACAAUAAGAAUGAUGAAGUCCCCUUAAUUCUUCAUAAUGUAGCCAAGUCUCCAAAGACCUCCAACAACACCUAUUGAUCAAGUUUGAGCUUGUUGGUCCCCAACCAAGUUGAGUCCUAAGAGGUUAGUCACAAUAGGCUUGGCAACCCAAAUGGUUCUUUUCUUGACACCACUUUGAGUACCAACAAACUUGGAAAACACAUUGCCAACCUUAUCCUUCCCAAGAGAAUAGAUAUCAUCAAUAAUAAUUGGGUUGGAUAAGUUGCCACUAGUGCAUGAAGAAGCGAGGUGACCUUUCUCACGACAUAGGUAGCAACGUCUACUCUUCACUUUCUUCUCACUUGAUUUCUCAACUUGAGAAGCAUUAGCUCGAGUUUUCUUUGGAAGAGGCAUUUCUUCAACUUGUGGUUGAGCAUGAGAUUGAACUUGUGGCCGCUUCCCUUGUUGCUUGUCACUGAUGGUCUUCUUCUUCAAUGGGCAAGAUCUCACAUGACGCCCUUCAAUUUUGCACUUGAAGCAAACAAUCUUGGCCGAAUUCUUGACUUGUUCUUGGCCCUUCUUCUUGUUCAUCUUGGACUUCUUCUUCUUAAUGGAGUUGAAUCCAAGUCCACCUUUGUCAUUGGGGGAUUUUUGCACACUCAAGAUAUUGUUGAGUGUGGAUUUCCCUUCAUGACCCUUUUCCAAGUCUUUCUUCAAAGAAGUGACUUGGGCCUUGAGCUCUUUGAUUUCCUCUACAUGGUUAGUCUCAACACAAGUACUAGAGGAAGUAUAAGCUUCAUCGUUAGAGCAACAAGGCAAGGAAAGCAAUUCAUCACAAGAUGUACCAACAUUGUGAGUAGAUGAAUUACAAGGACUAGCACAUGGCAAUAUAGUAUUUUGACUAGAAGUGGUGCUAGUAUCCACAUGAGGCUCACUAGAUGUUACCUUAGCAAUCAUGGCCUCAUGAGCUAUCUUUAGCACAUUAUGGGAUAAUAGAAGAUCAUCAUGAGAGCUUGAGAGCUUUUCAUGACUUUCUUCCAAUUUCCCAUAAUUGCUAGAUAGCAACUCAAGUUGAGUCCGAAGCUCAACAUUCUCCUUCAAAAUGGAUGCUUCACAAGUAAUAGAGUUAGUAGCACAAGCAUCAUCAAUAAUAGCAAGAGGAGAAGGCAACUUGGCAAGCUCUUUUGAAUAUGAAGCUUUAAGUUGUGCGUGAGACUCGGUGAGUUUGAUGAGCUCACUCUUAAUGACUCUUGAGCCAUUUUCGAGGUGCCCAAAGUCCUCAAGAAGUUUAGCAUGCGCAACUUCAAGCUUCUCAUUUUUAGUUUCAAAAACAUUGGCCACCUUAAGAGCUCUAUCAUGAGAUUUCUUCACUCUAGAUAAUUCUAUAGCAAAAGUCUCCUCAAGAGAUUCCUUGGUGGUUUGUUCAAGUUCAAGAGCUUGAGAGAGGUCCGCAAUCUCAUUAGCGUAAUCACGCUCAUGACCUUCCAUUUUUUCAAUGGUGACCUCAUGCUCCUCGAGAUGAUAUUCCAACUCCUCAAUAUAUUUCUUUCCCUCAAUGGAAAUGGACAUGAUUUCCACGAAGUUGGAACAAGCAAUUUUAUUUUUAUGAAGAGCUUUAAAAAUCAUUUCCCCCUUAAUUUUUAAGGAUGCAACAUUAUCAUUCUCUUCAUCAUUAUUCUCAUCAUCAUUAACAUUAACAUCAUCAUCAAGAGACAUAUAGGGGUUCAAAGUAGGAGAUACCUUUGAAGCCUUAGCCAUAAGGCAUAAAGCAAUAGAUGAUGAUGUAGGAUCCCUUGAAACACCAUUUGAGACCACAUCUUGUUCCAUGGAGUGUUGGGUUUCCUCUACAUUGUUAGCACAACAACUCGAGGAAAUACAUGCAUUUUUACCAUGGCAACAAGAUAUAGAAAGCAUAUCAUUAUGAGAUUUAUUCAAGCAAUUUCUACAUGAUAUGCACGGACUAUCAACACAAGCAUGUGAAACAUGUAAGGUGCACGAAGUGUUAAAGUCCAAAGAUGGAGCAUUGCAACAAGAUAGUGAUGAAGAGUCAUCAAUGAUAAGCACACUAUCAUUGCAAUGACCAACACUACUCACCAUAACAUUACCUUGUGGAAAUCCACAUGUAGGUGAAGUAGAAGAAGUUGAGAAGGCAACACGGCCGGAGGUGGAGGGAGAACAAUCAUCCCCACAAAUCUUGGACACACUAUAUUUAUCUUGAAGCUUUGUCCACAACUCAUGAGCAUCCCGGAACGGCGUGAGUUGAAAUAUAACUACAUUGCUCAAAGCAUCGAAAAACACAUUAGAAGCUUGAGCAUUGAGAUAAGAGUUUUUCUCAUCCUCUAAAGAUAAUCUUUGGGGAACCUUUGGAGGAGAAAAAUCAUAUCUACAAUUCGCUCUAAAUUUGGGUCCAUGACCCUAAAGAGAUUAAGCAUGCGAAUAACCCAAACAUCAAAAUUUGUGCCAUUGAAACUAAGAUUGUUAGAGAAUCCUAAUCCCCUAGUCGACAUCUUUACUCUCUAGGCGGUUAAGCCUGACAGAGAGAGACGAGGCUCUGAUACCAAUUGAAAGAUCGUGGAUGUCGCCUAGAGGGGGUGAAUAGGCGCUUUAAAAAAAAUUACAGUUAAGGCUUGAACAAAUGCGGAAUAAACCUAGCGGUUAAUUUGACAAGCACAAAACCUACAACAACUAGGCUCACCUAUGUGCACCAACUUAUGCUAAGCAAGAUAAACUACUAGGUGAAAGCAAGAUAUAUGACAAGAAACAAUAUGGCUAUCACAAAUUAGUAAAGUGCAUAAGUAAAGAGCUCGGGUAAGAGAUAACCGAGGCAUGCGGAGACGAUGAUGUAUCCCGAAGUUCACACCCUUGCGGAUGCUAAUCUCCAUUUGGAGCGGUGUGGAGGCACAAUGCUCCCCAAGAAGCCACUAGGGCCACCGUAAUCUCCUCACGCCCUCGCACAAUGCAAGAUGCCGUGAUUCCACUAAGGGACCCUUGAGGACGGUCACCGAACCCGUACAAAUGGCAACCCUUGGGGGCGGUCACCGAACCCGUACACUUUGGCAACCCUUGGGGGCGGUCACCGGUACCCGUUAAAUUGCUCGGGGCGAUCUCCACAACCUAAUUGGAGACCCUGACGCUUGCCCGGAGCUUUACAACACAAUGAUUGAGCUCCGAACAACACCAACCGUCUAGGGCGCCAAGGCACCCAAGAGGAACAAGCUCUAGGGUGCCCAAACACCCGAGAGUAAUAAGCUUCUCAAACUUCACUUCCACGUAUCACCGUGGAGAACUCAAACCUAUGCACCAAAUGCAAUGGCAAGGGCACAUGGAGUGCUCAAAUCCUUCUCUCUCAAAUCCCACCGAAGCAACUAAUGCUAGGGAGGAAGAUGAGAGGAAGAACAAGAAGGAGAACACCAAGAACUUCAAGAUCUAGAUCCAAUGGGUUCCCCUCACAUAGAGGAGAAAGUGAUUGGUGGAAAUGUGGAUCUAGAUCUCCUCUCUCUUUUCCCUCAAAAACUAGCAAGAAUCCAUGGAGGGAUUGAGAGUUAGCAAGCUCGAAGAAGGUCAACAAUGGGGGAAGAACACGAGCUCGAAGGAUGAGGUUGAGGGAUAUCUUCUCCAUGGGUUGAGGGAUAUCUUCCUCUUGACGCAAGCCCAUGAACACGUACCUAACCCCACAUAGAACUCUCACAUAGACCAUGGGUUAGAACACAAAGCGCAAUGGACAAUGCUUACCACACCAUGGGAUCACUUGAUCCCUCUCGGUACAUCUUGUAUGCUUUGUGAGUUGAUCAACUUGAUUCACUCUUGACUUAGUAUUGAUCAACCUUGAAUCUUUCCAACUCUCUUCAUUUGGAUGAUGUCUUGAAGUUAAACAUGAAUCAUCACACAAUCUUCUUUUUCAAGACAUGCUUGCAAUAAGCUCAACACUCACAUGACCAAUCUUAGAAUAAUUCCUUAAUAGCACCUUGGUCAACUCAUAAACUCCUUGAAACCAACACAUGGACUUCAAGAAAUGCCUAUGGACAAAUCCUUCAAAUAUAACUCAAGGCAACCAUUAGUCCAUAGAGAUUGUCAUUAAUUACCAAAACCAAACAUGGGGGCACCGCAUGUUCUUUCAAUCUCCCCCAUUUUGGUAAUUGAUGACAAUCACUCUUGAUGACAAUCACUUUCAAGAGAGUUUAUAUAAGGAAUUAUGCAUCACCAUGCAAUGCAACAACCAAUGAUGCAGGAGAAUGAGAUGCAAAUUCUUAGGAACAAAUCCAAAUCAAGGAGAAGACUCUGAAAACCUUCUCCAUAAAACUCUCUGAAACUUCUCCCCCAUUGGCAUCGAUUGCCAAAAUGGGCGACAAGCUUAGAAGGCCAAUAUAAAAAGUGUUCCUCCAUAAAUUGUGUAUUUCUCAACAAGAUAGUGGAAUGCCAUACACAUAUCCAAAGGUAAAUACUUGGAGGAACACAAACUCAUGCCUUCACUCAUCAUCGUCUCCAUAAAUUGACCGUCAUAUUUCAUUCUUAAAUUCCAGAGGAUAGAAACUUCGCCUAGCCAAUCUCAUGCCUUCACUCGUCAUUGUCUGCGAUUUCGGUCGCUCCCCUCUGACGGCCAACUCUAGGCCUUCACCCGUGAUUAUAAGGUCGGGGGAGGGCAGGGGCGGACUCAGAACAAAAAUGACCCGGUGUCCACAUAUACACAAUACAUGGGUGAGUACCAAGCAAUAAUAUACAUAAGAAUACCCCCUCCAUAAAGAAAUGUAAGAGCAUUUUCUAGGGGAAUUUAUGAAAAUGUUUCUUCAAAAGACGAAGAUCUUAGCACAAGAUGACAAUAUUUGCUCAUCAAGGUAUGAAAUGAACUAAAUGAUGCUUCAACAACUAGUCGUUUACUCUCUUUUUUUCUUUUGGUAUUGGCUAGCAUUUUUACCGCUGCACAUUUUUAAUUAAUCUUGUGUGUUACUCCCUUUGUAAAUAAAUAUAACAACGUUUAGAUCACUAUUUUAGUGAUCUAAACUCUUUUAUAUUUUCUUUACGGAGGGAACUCUUGUGUAUAUUAUUGCUUGGUACCCACCAAUGUAUUGUCUAUAUGUGGAAACCGGGUCAUUUUUGUUCUGGGUCCGCCCCUGGAUGUAGCUAGUAUUUUGCCUUCCAAACCUUGCCUAGUACAAACUUUGAAGCUUUGAACCUUUGUCUUGCUUGUGUCAGGCUACACUUUGUGCUUUAUGAAGAUGAACAUGUCAGAUGUAGUUGAAUUUUAAGAUGUGGAUUAGUCCGUGCAUUAUGAAGUUCAUUUUUGAAGUUGGGUUAUGUGUUGGUUUAUCAAUUGUUGCUAAAAUGGUAGCCAAACAGGAUAUGGUAGUUAUUUCAAUCUAGAAAUCGUUGUGGCAGCCAAACAUGAUUUUUGCAACUGGAUUUCCAUUCCAACCAAAUGAAAUCCCCAUGGAGAUUUCAUUUCAUUUCAAGGGUGCCAAACGAGCUGUUAGGGUAAUUAUAGGAUUCAAAUAGGCAUGGCGUACAAUCAUGGAGUUUUCCAAUUUCUGCUUUUUCCAAAUAUACUUGUACCAAAGUGGCUCUAGACUCAGGCCGUUAUGUAUACUUUGUUUUUUCUUAUAAUAUAUAAAAGAGAGGUCUUCCCUCCGAUCAUGUAUACAUUUUAGUACGUACCACAAAAUAGUAGUUAAACUGCAAAUCCGACACUGCACGACUGACGACGGUACACAACCUCGUCGGUGGAACGCCACUGACGAUCGAGCUUAGCUGCAGCAUUAUUC